GAGAGAGAGAGAGAGAGAGAGAGAGAGAGAGAGAGAGAGAGCUAGUCUCCUAUACUAUUUAUAAUAACGGGCCUCUGGUAUUAUAGUCCCAUUUUCGAUUUUAGGGUGUUCAAAUCAACGAUACAUAUCGUUAAAACUGAUUUAGGGUAUUUAAAGUUUUUAGAAAUAAAAUUUUAUAUUUUUUCGACAUAGUUUACUUUAUGAUCAAAUCAUUUCAAAAUUGUCAAUUUUCAAUGGCUACUAUAGCGAGUUUAGAGUUUAACGGUGUAGAAGAAUCUAAAUUUCUUUAAAUUUUGAUAGAAAACACUUUAAACUAUCUAGAUUAAGGUUAACAUUCUUAAUCUUGAAUUUAAAAGUCCUAUACUCAAAUUUUAAAGAUUAUUCGAUUUCCACCGUCCAUUUUGACAUAAUUUAUUUACUAAGUAAACGAUGUCGAAAAAAACUAAAAUUUUUUUCUAAGAACUUCAUAUACCAUAGAUCAUAUUUAAUGAUGUGGAUCGUUAAUUUGAACAUCACAAGAUCGAAAAUAAGACUAUAGUACCGAAGCUCCAGUACUAUAGAUAGUAUAGUAGCAUAAUUCUAUAUAUAUAUAUAUAGGCUAGGGCUACUAUCCUAUUAAUAGGAUAGUAGCACUUGUCCUAUCAAAUUGUUCUUGAUGAUAGAGAUUCCGAAUCAAUGAUCGGAGCCGUUAAAGUUGAUCUAGAGUAUUUGAAAUAUCUAAAAACUAAAUUUUAUAAAUUUUAAAAAUUAUUUACGUGAUGAUCAAAGUAUCGUAAAAUUGACAAUUUUUGAUUGUCUAUAUGAGCCGCUUGCUUGUUUAACGGUGUAGAAUAAUCCAAAUUGGUUGAAUUUUUGAUAGAAAAUUCUUUAUACUAUUUAGAUAAUAUUUGAUAAUUCUGAUCAUGAUUUAAGAAAGUCUAACCUCUAUUUUAAGAAGGUUAUUCAUUUAUGACCGUUCAUUUUUUCGACUCUUCGAUAGACUUGAUAAUGAUUUUCAAAAAUUACAAAAUUCGGUUUUUAAAUAUUUCUUAUAGUGUAGAUCAAUUUCAACGGUGCCGAUUAUCAAUUUGGAGUGUCGAUCAUUCAAAACCAUUUGAUAGGACAAUGGUCCCAAUCCUAUUAAUAGCAUAGUAGCCGGACUCUAUAUAUAUAUAUAUAGUAUGAGGCUACUAUGCUUCUGGAAGCACGGAGCCUUUCGUGCUUUCAGAUCGUUUUCGAUGUUGCGACUUUCAAAUCAUCGAUCGGCUCCGUUAAAUUUGAUCUAGAGUAUUUGAAGUACCUAGAAAUUAAAUUUUAUGAUUUUUCGAUAUCAUUUGCCUAGUGAUCGAAUGGGCUCAAAAUCAAUAAUUUUAAUGGCCGUAGUGAACCGUUUGCAAGUUUAACGGUGUAGAAAUAUCCAAAUCACGUGAAAUUUUGAUAGAAAAUUUUUUAUACUAUAUAAAACAAGAUCAAUAUCUUUAGUCUAAAAUUUUAAUGUCAUAUUAUCACGUUUUGUAAGAUUUUUAUUUUUAACUGUUGAUUUUGAGUUCCUUCGUUCACUAGGCAAAUAAUAUCGAAAAAUCGCAUAAUUUAUUUUCUGGGUACUUCAAAUACUCUAAAUCAAGUCUAACGGAGCCAAUCGACGAUUCGAAAGUCGCAACAUGAAAAAUGACCUGGAAGCACGGAAGGCUCCGUGCUUCCAGAAGCAUAGUACCCUCACUCUAUAUAUCUAUAUAGAGUGCGUUUGGUAUGCUUCUGGAAGCACGGAGCGUUCCGUGCUUCCAAUUUGUUUUUGAUGUUCGGACUUUCGAAUUGACGAUCGGCUCCGUUAGACUUGAUCUAGAGUAUUUAAAGUAUCUAGAAAAUAAAUUUUGUGAUUUUUCGAUAUCAUUUGCCCAGUUAUCGAAGUCGCUCAAAAUCAACGGCUGAAAAUAAAAAUCUUACAAAAUAUGAUGAUAUGGCAUUAAAAUUUUAGAUCAAAGUUAUUGAUCUUGUUUUAUAUGGUAUAAAGAAUUUUCUAUCAAAAUUUCAUGUGAUUUGGAUAUUUCUACACAAUUAAACUUGCAAACGACUCACCACGUUGAUUUUGAGCCCCUUUGAUCACUAUGCAAAUGAUAUCGAAAAAUCGCAAAAUUUAUUUUCUAGAUACUUCAAAUACUCUAGAUCAACUCUAACGGAGCCGAUCGUCGAUUCGAAAGUCCGAACAUAGAAAACAACUUGGAAGUACAGAGGGCUCCAUGCUUCAAGAAGCAUACCAGCCCAUUAUGUAUAUAUAUAUAUAUUUAUAUAUAUAUAUAGAGAUCGGCUGGGAUACUAUCGAUAGCACUAAGGAUUUGGUGCUAUCGAGUUUUUCACCGUUAGAUUUAACCCUUUAAUUAUUUUUACAUGUUGGAUUAUACUAUUCAACCAACCACUCACUCAACCCUACAUCAUCGUAACCACGCAUUUCUCAAUCCAAUGGUUAAAAAAUGAAUAGCACCAAUAGCUUGUUGCUAUUGAUAGUAUUCCAGCCUAGUUAUAUAUAUAUAUAUAGAGAGAGAGAGAGAAAGAGAGAGAGAGAGAGAGAGAGUCCGGCUACUAUGCUAUUAAUAGCACGAAGCACUUGGUGCUACCAAGUUUUCCGCCGUUAGAUCUAUCAUUUUGAUCAUUUUCACCCGUUAGAUCAUACUAUUCAACCAACCACCCACUCAACCCUAGAGAGCCCACAUCAUCCUAACCGCACAUCUCUUAAUCCAAUGGCCAAAGACUUGGUAGCACCAAUGACUUGGUGCUAUUAAUAGCGUAGUAGCCUAGUUCUCUCUCUCUCUCUCUCUCUGUAUAUAUAUAUAUAUAUAUAUAUAUAUANGAAUGUAAAAUUUAUAGCUACUUUUGAAUAUACAGAUAGCAGCGCGCUUCUUAUAAAUAAUAUCCUUUUCUUCGAAAAAUUUUCAAUGACUAAUUAUUGGCUAGUUAAUAUAUUUUCAUAACUUUAUGUUUUUAAGUAAACAUUUUAAAUAUUAGACAUCAAAUCUUGAAAUGAAAUCUAUAUCUAUAUCUAUAUUUAAAUUUCGAUCUUCUAUCUAUUUAUAUAUAUAUAUAUAUAUAGAAAGAGAGAGAGUUGAGCUAGAUUACUCUCAAAAGCACCAUAAAGGUCGGAAAGAGUUUCACAAAUUCGAACACAUUUUAACUUAUUUAGGGACUAUACAGCGAUCAUCACUUGUACAGGCUUUAGCAUUCCAAAUACGACCACACGCAUUAAUUACUACUAACUAACUACCAAAAGUAGAAAGCUAAUGAGGAUCUCCUGAUUAACUAGCCCAGGCAUUUAAUAAUUAAACUGAUACCACUGCAAAUAUUACAUCAUAGUUUUAUAAAAAAUUUGAAAACGUGAUUCUUUAUAUAUUCGCAGGUGUUAAAAUCAACGAUCCGAAAUUUCUAAAAUAGGGUGUUAUUGAAACAAUUCAAGAUUUAUAUUUUUAAAACUCAUAACUUUUUAUACAUAUAUAUAUAUAUAUAUAUAUAUAUAUAUAUAUAUAUAUAUAUAUAUAUAUAUAUAUAUAUUAUUUGUUGGAACUGUACGUUCAAACUUUUAUUUCUAAACUUCCAUCGUUAAAUUUGACCUUGAGUAAAAUUUUUAUAAUUUGGAAAAAAAAUAUAAUUUCAUGCAUACCUUCUCUGUGGGGCGCCGUUACCGCGACGGUUGGUACGGUUGGAAGUUUUAUAAAAUAGGAUCUUUGGCCCCGCACUUAAUUUAACGACUUAGUUGAACUUAAAAAAGAAUUAAUUAUCGGAUUUACUACAACAAAAAUAGUCUAUAGCGACACUUUUAAAUAUAGGUACAUGUCAAAAAAAAUGCUGCUAGCUAAAAUUACCGACACUUUUAAAAAGUGUUGCUAUAUGUGGGAUCGCUAGGUAUAUAGUGACAGUUAAAGAGUGUCACUAUAACCUAAAAAAAUGUUGCUAAUUUACCAACACUUAUUUAAAUAUUUAACAACCGCCGAAACUCUAUCUCGUUGGCUGCGGUGGCGGAGGAGGACGACAGGAAAGGCUCUUCGUUUAGAAUUUCAGUGGAUUAAGUGAAGAUAGAAGAAAAGAUGGUAAUUGAUUUUUCUUUUUUUUUUUCUUUUCAGUUUGUAAUCGGGCCAAAUGGACUGGGUGUGGUGGGUUGAGUAGAGUAAUCUUUUAUUUUUUGUUGGAUUAGGCUUUAUAUUUAGGCAUUAGUAGAUGCUUUUUUAAAUUUUAGCAUAAAUGGGACACUUUCUCAAAAGUGUCCCAAACAUGUGUCCCUAUAAUCUAAUUCUGUUGUAGUGAUUGUGUCGGCUCCAAAUUAACCUCUCCUCUGGCUAGCGAAUUUUUGUCUUUUUUUUUUUGAAAAAAGAAAUAACUAAAAUUAACUAUUUGUGCACGAAGAACCCGGGAAUCUGAAUAUAUAGGGAUAUUUCGGUGUGAACGCAAAUGUUCUUUGCCACCAAUAGUGAUGGUUGGGUUUGCUUCGAGUGGAAGGAUCUUAUAGACUUUUUAAUCAUUUAAUUAAUUAUUAUUAACACAUCACAAACAAAUUAAGAAAAGAAUGAAAAGAGAAAGAAGAAGAAGAAAGAUUCUAUUUGUCAACUCAAAAAAAACAAAGAUGCAAGAUAUACACCUUAUAUUAGAAUGUAGCAAUGACAUUAAUUGCUCAAAAGAAAAAGAACAGUGUCUAUUGUUCUAUCAUCCACGAUCUUGAAUUAAGUGGAAAAAAAAAUUAGUUGAGUCUCGAAGAUUUGGUUAUGAAGAACAGUUCGCUUAUAAUUGUAAUUAGAGAGAAUUUACGUGAACUCAUCAUUAAUUUGCUCUAAAUGGCUAGCAGUUUUCCCACCGAUCUUGUGGCAUUGCUCGGAGUGAUCACUAGAGUUUCACAGAUAGCGCUUCGAAGACCGUGCACCACACACCUCAACCAAUAGACCAUAUUUUAUGCUUAUACUAGCGUAGUAACCCGUGCGAUACGACGGAUAGAUAAUUAAAAAAAAUAUAGAAAAUAUCAAUAAAAAAAAAGAAAAGAAAACGGCGAUAAAAAAAGCGAUAAUGAGGGGAGGGAUUCAUUUUGCCGUUGAACGAAAAUAAUAUACCACUUGUCACGGGGUUAGCUUUUUCGCCUUGAAAACCACCGCGCGGCGCUCAAGUGUCGUACACCCGAGCCAGCCUUCUCGAGUCCUCUCCACGGACAAGUCUCCCAGACUUAACAGCGGAAUACCAAUUCAAGCAUUUUGCCAAGCUUGCUCCUCCGCGAGACUUACAACCCGACUCUUCGCUUGUAAUCGAACCCCUCGUCGGACUCCUCGAGUUCCCAACGAGCAACCCCAAUACCGAGGUUGGCCACCAAGCUAGGUGCAUCCCGUCUUGCCAACCGAUCUCUCCUCGAGAGUGCUUCAUAACCGAAUGCCUUGUUGCCUUCAUCACUAGCCCCAAGGACAUUACAAGUUCUCCCCAACUUGUUCCAUUAUGAGUCUAGCCAAGCGUCUCGCCUCCCAUGCGUUUCGCUCCCGUGACUUAAUUCGCACGCCUCUAGCGUUAAGGUCCGGGCUUCGCAACAUCGCAUGCCACGAAGGGCACUCAUAAACAUAUGUUCCACACCAUCGUGCCUCAGGCGCCUGACAACGUCCAUGGCCAUACGCGGCUUGGAUCUCUGUAGUGGAGCGUACGAGCGGAUGAGGGAUAGUCUAGCGACGGAUUGUCCUCUGUAAAGGACAAGGCUCGCGAAGGCAAGUGUGCCGAGUGGGGAUUCGUGGGGCGCGGCGCCCACGAAGACCAAGAAGGCGGGACUCAAUAGGAGCGCUAAAGGGAGGCACGCCAAGGGAGAAUUCGUAUCGAGUGGAGCACACUCAAAAAUGAAGGAAAAGUUGCCAUGUGGCAACUUUAGAAGAAAUAAUAUAUAAAAAAUAAAUAAAAGAAUAAAAUAAAAAAUAUAUAUGAUUGAUAAUUGAAGUUUUUUUUUUCGAAUUAUUAUAAUUAAUUAACAUGUAAUGCAAGUUGGCCGAAUAACGAAUGAUAUGAAUCAAUUGGUCUGGUUCUUUCUAAUAAAGCAGUCUGGUUCAAGCAAAGGAAGAGGGCACCAGUUUGGUUCAGGUAAACAAAAAACAGGGAAUAUGAGCUGGUUUAGUGUAAAGGCUUCACUCAACCAUGUUUGGUUCAAGCAAAAAAAUGUGAAAUUAUUUGGAGAGCUUGAGCCGGUUCAGGAUGGGACUCAUACUCGACAAUUCGGUUCGGUUCAACUAAAGGAAAAGAACCGGUGGAGCCCACACCCCACAACAUUGAAGCUUGUGUUGCCAUGUGGGAAGUUUUUUGAGAAAUAAUGUAAAGUAAUAGAUAAUAGAUAAUAGAUAAUAGAUACUCCCUAUUAUUUAUUGAUUUAGAAAGUAUUAAUUGUUUAUUGUCGUUAAUUAAGGAAUUUUAAAGUUGAAAAUGCUUCUUAAAACUAAAAUUUUAAUGUAUGUUUGUAUGUCGAAAUAAGUUAUUUGAUAAUAACUUAUUCUUUAUGUGGAUUUUCUAUUGUGAUUAUAAAAAAGAAGCUUGAUUAUUGGUUCUUAUAAAGCGUUGAUAUUUAAAAUUUAUUUGGAUAAUAUAUUUCAUCUACAAGGUGGUUUAUUUUAAUCAAUUUUUUUUCUUUUGGAGGAUUUUAUAUGCUUUUCUAUUUUAAACAUUUGACCAUACUUAUAGCUUUCAAUCACAAUAGAAAAUUUUCAUAUCGAAUAGAGUAUAUAUCAGUGAAUAUCUUAUUUCAAUAUCGAAACAGAACUUCAAAGUAAAUUUCUAUUGAAAAAAUAAAAUUUCUAUGAAAUGAUCCACGUCUCAUGAGGAGACACAUGUCCCCUCAAACCCUCCUUUACUCUCUCUUUCUCUCUCUCUCUCUCUCCCUCUCUCUCUCUCUCUAUAUAUAUAUAAUUUUAAAUUUUGAUAUCAAAAUUUAAAAUUUUAAUAUUUUAAAAUUUUAAAAUUUUAAAUUUUGUAUUUUAUAUUUUAAAUUCUAAAUUUCAAUUUCAACUUAUAAUAUUUAUUUCAAAAUUUUAAACUUUGAAAUUUAAAAUUUUAAAUCUCUAAACUCUAUGAAAUUAAUUAAUUAAUUUUAUUAAUAACUCAUUACAUAUAAUAUAAUUAAUUAAUUUUAUUAAUAAUACUAGUAAUAAAUCGCGUAAUAAAAUCUAAUCUAAUAGAUGCAAUUUAAAUCAGGUAAAAUAUCGCUGUAUAAAAAAAUACAGUAUUUAAAUUUCUCGAGUAAAAUUUUACAAAUAUAGUGUAUUUGUGUGUAUAUAUAAUUAAUUUUACUAAACAAUUUCUUCUACAAUUUUAUUUUUCUUCUAUUUAUUGAGUUUUUUUAAAAUUAUUUUGAUACAUUUAUCUCAAAUUCUUCAAAUAUAAAUCUUUAUAAAAUAAUUUAUUGUAUAAAUUUACUUUGCGCAUAUACCAAUUUUAAUAACUUUUAUUUAAAUAGAUUUAACUAUUAAAUUAUUUUUAUAUAACUUUUAUUUAAUUAAUAAUUAAACUUGUGUAUUGCUUUUAUGCUAUCGGAAGCAUAAAGUAGUUGGUGUUUCUGAUUUUUUCGCCCUUAGAUCAAAGAUUCUAUAUAAAUCUUUAUAAAAUCUUUAUAAUAUAAUUCUUCAAAUAUAAAUCUUUAUAAAAUAAUUUAUUGUAUAAAUUUACUUUGCGCAUAUACCAAUUUUAAUGACUUUUAUUUAAAUAGAUUUAACUAUUAAAUUAUUUUUAUAUAACUUUUAUUUAAUUAAUAAUUAAACUUGUGUAGAGCUACUAUACUAUCGGAAGCAUAAAAUAGUUGGUGCUUCUGAUUUUUUAGCCCUUAGAUAAAAGAUUUUAUGGUUGGGAUGAUAACGGUCCCCUUAAGGUUGAGUGGUUUUCAGUGAUUAAUAAUAUUAAUCCAAUGAUUAGAAAUGAUCAAUUGGUUUGAUCUAAGGGCUAAAAAAUUAAAAUCAACAACCACUUUAUUCUUCCGAUAGCAUAGUAGCUCCACUUAUUAAACUUAUAAAACUAUAUAAAAAUAUUAAAAAUAAAAUUUAUUAUAAAAUAUUUUUAUAUCUGCAGCAUCGUACGGAUAUUUUACUAGUAAGCACAACGAGUGCUGCCUACGUAGGACCUGGAUCCUUCUGGAAAGUAUUCAUUUUUUAAAGUAAACAGAAUUGGUCGGCUCCAAUUAAAAGCACCGUUCCAGCUGCACACAUUUCCGUUGAAAGCGAGAUUCGUGCACGCAUUGAUCACAAGCUAAUUAAUAAGGUAAAUUAUACUUUCGUGUUCAAACGGUGAGUCGGGUUAUCCUUCGGUUCAGGAAGUAUCAGUCACGUGGUAUUUUUAAUAUUUUAAUUUUUAAAUUAAUUUUUUUUGAUUACUUUUAGCUUUUUGAAUUAAUAUUAUUUUUUUUAGAAGGCUAUCAAAAUCUUAAGAGGGAUAUUAUCAUCCCAACUCUGUAAUUUUUGAACUAAUUAAUGACCAAUAAAUCAAAAGCACGAAUUAUUUUAUACUUCUGAAAGUAUAGUAUACAUAUAUAUAUAUAUAUAUAUAUAUAUAGAGAGAGAGAGAGAGAGAGAGAGAGAGAGAGAAACUAAGCUCCUAUAUUUUUAAAAAUACUAAAUUAUUGAUACUCGUAGAUUUUUCGUCUUUGGAUUAAGAGAUGUGCGAUUACGUUCUCUAGGGUUGAAUGGAUGAUUGGUUGAAUAGUAUGAUCUAAUGAAUGUAAAUGAUCAAAGAGAUAAAUUUAACAGAAGAAAAUUACAAGUAACAAGUGCUUGAUAUUACUGACCGUUCCUAGAGCAAGUGACAAAGGGCUUGAUGGUUGGUAUCGGAGAUCUCAAGUUCGAAUCCUAAUUAAUUCACAUUUCAAACUAAAUUUAUUUCUAAAUAAAAUAAACGAAACGGAUAGCGUGCUAUCUAUUUCUCAAAAAAAAAAGAAGAAAAUGGCUUGAUACUUUUAGAAGCACCAUAACUGGACUCUAAAUGUAUAUUAAAAAAAACAUAACCGGGCUCUACAUAUAUUAAAAACACCAUAGUCGGACACUCUCUCUCUCUCUCUCUCUCUCUCUCUCUCUCUCUCUCUCUCUCUCUCUAUAUAUAUAUAUAUAUAUAUUCCUACUGGGAUACUAUCGAUAGCAUCAAGCGUUUGGUGCUAUCAAAUUUUUCGCUGUUAAAUUUAACCAUUUAAUUAUUUUUAUCCGUUAGAUUAUACUAUUAAACCAAUAAGUCACUCAACCCUAGGGGGGCCAUAUCAUUCUAAUCGUAUAUUUUUUCAUCCAAGGGUCAAAAAUCUAAUAGCACCAAUAGCUUGGUGCUCUUUAUAGUAUUCCAACCUAAUUCAUUUAUAUUAGGAGUAUUUAUUUGUUUUUGCUAUUAUUCGGUGGUGGGACCGAUAUUUGCCGCUCCUCACCUUGGCGGCGGCGGCGGGGCCGUUCGUGUCUCUCUCACUCUCCUUCUCUUUUUCGGGCCGAGUCCCCAAUCCUUCUUAUCAUCUUAAUUCUUAAACCGACACACAUUAUUAUUAUAUUAAAAAAAGGUGUGAAGCCCUUUUUGUAAUUUCGCGCACUAAAAUCCUUCGCGUGACCUCUUAGUAGGUCGAAGAAUUUGACCGCUAAGAAAAGGGUGUGAAACAACCCCUCUUUGUACUUUCGCGCACUAAAAUCCUUCGCGUGACCUCUUAGUAGGUCGAAGAAUUUGACCCGCUAAGAAAAGGCACUAAAAUCCUUCGCGAAAGGAACUAAAAUCCUUCACGGCCUCUUAGUAGGUCCAAGAAUUUGAUAGCUAAGAAAAGGGUGUAAAACAAUCAUUAUACUCUAAAAAUUUAAGCUGUUAUAAAACGGUGUUUAAACUUUUGUAUAUUUAACACUUCCGCUCGAGGAAAUUAAUAUGCUAGGAACCUGGCGUGAUUCGAAUUCAAGACCUCCUGCUCUGAUAUCAUGUGAAACAACCGUUGUACUUUAAAAGUUUAAGCUGUUAGAGAACGGUGUUUAAAUAUUUUUACAUUUACCAAAGGGUGCUUAGCAAACGAAUUGUCCCCUUACUAAAGCAAAAAUAUUUGUCAAUAAUUAAUUCAAAGUAUCAAGCAAGUGGCACAUCUCUUAAACCAAAUAUUAAUUAAACAAAUACCCUAAUUCUCGGAUAGUGGCCGAGGUAAUUGUACAACAUCGACUCUCCAUUAAUACCCUGUAAAACAAAUAUUAAUUUAUUCACGUUUAAUUUAGAGACUGAUGCUGAGGCACCGGCCCUAAGGGAGUGGUUCGAUGUCUUGAAAAAGCAUGAAAAUUAAACUAUUUUUCAGUUUUUUUUUUUUUUUUUUUUUUUUUUUUUUUUUUUUUUUUUUGUGUGUGGAGAACAUUUUUUUUUCUAACCAUUUUUUCGGAUAAAGAGUUCGGAGAGCUCAAACAGCUCAUUUUAUCAUUGGAUUUGAAAUUUUGUUUCUAAAAGAUACUAUUUUUUAAUAGGAAUCAAUAUAAAAAAAAAAAAACUUUUUCAAUUAUAAAACUCUUUUUUGAGAUAUGCGGUAAAAGAAAGCAUCGCACGAGUGUUGGCUAUUAGGUCAACAUUUCUGUCAUGUCUAGAAGACUAAUAAGUUGAGUUGGCUGAGCCCAAUAAGUUGAGUGAGGUUAUGGUCGAUAAUUGACCUAACAGUAAAAGGUCCGAUAAAUAAAUCUAACAUUCAGAUGCAUUGAGUCAGAUUGAAACUCAUAAAUACCGUCAUUGAGUUUUUAAAUGUGAUCGUUGCGAUCGGCAUGUAUUUUUGAGAUAAUAGGUUAGUCCUUUUGCAGCGGACGGAACAUCACACGUGGCGCUAUGUUCAUUAAUUGUAUUAAAUUAUAGAGAAUAAUGAAGCCCACGCAUUUAUAUGGUGAGCAUUUGUUUAAUCUUAAUUACAAUCUUAAGCAAAACUCAUUGUAACGCAUGAGCAACAAAGUAAGCUCUCGGAUGCUGAUCACAGCAUCAAGCACAAUCAGAAAUGUAAUCAACCAAAAUUGGCGCAUAUAUAUCAUAGUUUACAGUGACAUAUAUGCAACUAGUGAAAAUUUAAACUAGGUAAGUGACUAAUAUUUAUUAUCUAAUCUUAUUUAAAAAAUAUCACGGCAAAUAACUAAAUUUUAAAUUAUUUUAUAAAUUCCUACAAAGAAGUUUUUGAUUAAUUUACUUUUAAAAGAUAAAAUUUUAAAAAAUAUUCUUGCGCACUGCAGGGGUUGCUGACUAGCAUAAAGCUAUUACUUGAUAUACAAAGCCAAUUUCAAAAAUCAAUUAAAGAAAUAAAAUUUAAACAAUUUAAUCAACAAGGUACACAUAUUAAUUAUAAAAUUCAAAUAUUCAAACCAACAAAACCAAACGGAAAUCAAACUGUUGGUUUAGGUUUUAGCAUUAUUAAUAAAAUUUAAUAACUUUUUAAAUUGAAUAAGGCCAGUUCAAUUCUAAUUUAUGAACAAACCAUAAGCAUGCACGUCGCUAAGGAUGUAAAACGGGCAGCGGCCCACAACUACUGGCGGAAUUAAGGCAUAGUUAGGGACAUGUCAACGAGUCGAAUUUGGAAUGGAUUAUCAAAAUCCCGAAUCUCAACCCGACAAGCAAAUCCGAAAUUUGAAUUCGAACAAAGAUGAAUUUUGAAAAUCCAUAGCAAAGACUGAACCCAACCGACAAGUCUGAAACGCAAACCCAAAUCUAAGCUCGAAAUGAUUAUUUCUCUUUAGUAUAUUUUCCAUCAUAUUUCAUUAAAUUUUAAACAUUUUUAAAAUACAAUUUCAAAUAAAACACAAAAAAUUUUAAAAAAUUUCAAAAUAAAAAUUCUAAACUUGUUCCGAUUUGGGGACAACCGGGCAAGUUUGUUUGAGAAGAAGGGUGGAACAGCUAUUCCACGCAAAAAAUAAUGUGGGGGAUAUAAGGAGAGGAAUAAGGAUUCAUUCCCCUCCUUAUAUCUGAACCAAACGUUACCUACGGUUCAGUAGGCGGUUAGUUGAAUAAAAUGAUUUAAUGAGUGGAAAUAGCCAAGGGAUAGAUUUAACGGAUGAAAAUAGUCAAAUGAUAGAUCUAACGGUGAAAAACUUGGUAGCACGACACGGUUGGUACUAUAAUGUAAAAUUAAUUCGAGUUCAGUUAGCAUACAAAUAAUUUUACAAGCAAUGGUGUUUUAUUGUUACAUAUUUUAUGCAUUCAACGUGUUGCCACUUUCAAAAGUUUACAUUUGUCGAUUUCAAACGUCUUAUAUUUUCAUUAUGUGAAAAUAUAAGACGCGCGCCAAACUGAAAAUGCAUAAAUCCACAGAAAAUUUUUUUUCCUAUACAAAUUGUAUUAACUACGAAUUAAUCUCUACAACAUCCAACAAGCACAAACAAUACCUGAAAUUUUUUUAAGAAAAUUGUUAAAACGGUCCGGGCCACCCUUGGGCCGCCCAGCCUGGCAUGGCUUCACUCCUUAGGCCCGAACUUUCGGGUCGUACUGGGCCUCACUCUUUAGGCCCGAUGGUCUGGUACGACCCGACACGAAACAUGCCUGGACCGUGCCAGGCCGAGGAGAGCCCGUGGCCCGGCACGGCGCUGCCAACUUGGUCCGUGCCAGCCGGGCCAGCACGGUCCGAACCUCAUGGCCCAAGGCAAGUUGCCUUGGGCCUAGGGGGUCCGAUCUCUUGGGGAGAAGGGCUUGGCGCUCUCUUCCCAAUGUCUGAAGUGGUAGACUUUGGAAGGAGUGAUUUUUGGUCCAAUGGACCAAACAAUUUUGGUCCAUUGGACCAAAAACUCUUUUUUUUUCAAUAAUAAUAAUAAUAAUAAUAAUAAUAAUGUAUAUACUUUUUUAAAAAAUUAAAAAAUUAUUAUUUUAUAAUUAAUUUAAUUAAUAAAUUUUAAAAUUUUUAACUAAAAUAUUAAUUUAACUAAAAAUAAAAUACUUUUAUUUUAAAAUUUUAAUGCAGGAGUCUGCUGAGACGUCAUCGAUCCGCCUACGUCUGCAGGCCGAGGCCUAGGCCCCGCCAUCACAGGCUGCAGCAUGGUUGCGCUCAGUAUCAUCAUCAUCAUCAUCAUCAAAGCGAAGGCGAUGAGGAUGUUCACCUGCAGCAGCAGGGGCCAUUGUAGAGGGAAUGCGAACGAAUUAUUAGUAGUUGCAGUAGCAGCAGAGAGAGAGAGAGAGAGAGGAGGCUUAACGUGCACUUGUAGGAGAAUUUAGGCAAUGCUGGGGGGUUUAUAUAAGCAGACAUUGUAAGUAAGCUUGUAGGCCUAUCAAAAUUUAACACAGAUCGACUUACUCUUUAAUCUUGAUUGGUUUAAAGAAACCAGCAUUCUGUUAUAUAUAUAUGUAGCGCAAGUUUGGAUUAAAUGACAUGAGGCUGAUGGACCGAGUCAUAAUCGUGAUUCGUGGACGCUGUGUUUUCACGCUGUGAAUAGAUUAAUUAUGUAUUACUAAUCGUUCGAAUUUUUGAUAUUAAUGAUUAGCGCUGAUGAUCCGACGGCCUUAAUCUAAAGAAUAUAUAUACUUUUGUGACCAAUGGGGUAUAGGAGUUUCGGAGAACUACUUUGAGACCUUUUAUUAACCUGGAGAAUUAAAUAUAUACAUUCCAAAAAGUUUAACCAACUCAAAAGGUUGACCUGUUCAUCACGGCACUAAUAUUUUUUUAGAGACCAACAUCUAGCAUUAUGUACACCGAGGGGCCCAGGCUCAAAACCAACUCGAUCAUUCAUGUCCAUAGACUCCAUACACAGUCCACGAUAUGAGAAAAAACAAAUUGAAAAAGUAGAGUGGAUCCUUCACAGCCCGGAUUCCUCCACAUGAGGAACCAAUUGAAACAAAAAGUAAUUAAGGAGAUGCGUCCUUCAACAGCCCACAAUCCUCCCCCUGAGAAAAAAAGAUUGAAAUAUAAAGUACAUCCUUAAACCGUCCAAAAUCCUGCAAAAGAAAAGAGAAAUUGAAAUAAAAAGUAGAUCCUUCAACAAUCCAACUAAUGCCAUGUCUAAUCUUAGUGGGAAAAAAAUAUUUUCAAUCUAACUAUCUUUUUAAAAAGUUUCCUAACUAAGCUUCAUUUGGAUGGAUAAAGAAAGAAAAAAUAACUAAUCAAUAUUUAUGUAUUAACUGGGGGAGAGAUUUUUUUUUUAUUUUUUUAUUUUUUUUGUCUCCUCCGCUCUCCAAGGCCACCACACUGCUUCUCUCUCUCUCUCUCUAUCUCUCUCUCUCUCUCUCUCCACCCACACACACUCUCUCCUCCCCACAUACUAAUAUUUAAUAAUAACUAAAAAUAAUAUUUAAUAAUAAUAAUAAUAAUAAUAAUAAUAAUAAAUAUUAUUAUUAUUACUAUAUAAUGAUUUAUGAGUGUGAAAUAAGUUUCUACUAAGUUAAAAUUAUAUGACGAGCAGAGCGCGACUCUCGGCUCAGAGUAGCGAGAUGAUCCUCGUAUCGUCUGAUACUUGUAAAUAUACAUUAGUGUGACAAGAGCGUCAAGAUUUAAGAGGAAGAGAAUGUGAUAUACUACGAAUUUGAAAUUGCCAUAUAUAUAUAUAUAUAGGCUAGGGCUACUAGCAGAGAAGAAGCUAUAUGGAGAAGCCCAAGGUGGCCAUGGCCCUCUCAACUUUUCAAUAUUUGUUUAAUGGUUCUUCAAAGUUUUUUUUUUUGGACCAUAGAUAGCUUUGGCCCCCCUCAGCUUUUCAAUAUGUGUUUAAUGGCCCUUCAAAGUUUUUUUUUUUUUUUUUUUAAAUUUUUAUUUAUCUUAGGUGAGCUCUUUUAUUUGACUAAAUCAAUAAUUGCACUAAAUUUAAUAGUUAUGUUAAUUUUAUUUACAAAAAAAUUAAGAAAUUACUAUUAGAUUUAGUAAAAUUUCUAAGUUAUUUUAAUAUAAUAAUAUAAAAAUAAUAAUUAGAAGUUAAACAUACGAAAGUAAAAAACAUAAAGUUCAUUCUUUUAUAUUAUUUAUUUAAUAAAAAAUUUUUAAUUAGAAAAAAAAAAUUGUUUAUUAUUUAUUACUAAAGUUUCUAAUUAAAUAUAUUUUGGCCCUCCUCAAGAUUGAAUUCUAGCUUCGUCCCUGGCUACUAUACUCUUAUGAGUGUAGAACUGUUUAUACUUAUAAAUUUUUAACCAUUGGAUGAAGAGAUGUGCGGUUAGAAUAAUAGUAGUCUCCGAUUAAGAUGAUAGUGAACCCCUAGGAGUGAGUGGGUGGUUGGUUGAAUAGUAUAAUCUAACAGAUAAACGUGGUUAAAAGAGUAGAUCUAACGGCCGAAAAUUUAUGAUUACAAAGAGACCUAUACUCAUAACAGUAUAGUAGCCCGACUCUCUCUCUCUAUAUAUAAGUAUAAUUAAUACAACUAGAGCUUUUAAUUCAAUUAUAAUAUUCUAGCGAUAGUUAAGCCUAAGAGAUUAAGAGAUUUGAAUGAGUCUAAAAUUAGAGUAUAAUUAGAGGUGUCGCAAAUUUAGAUAACAAAGCAGUUAAUUAAACCUCAGUGGAGGUGGGACAUGCAUGUAACAUGUUGAGCAGCAUAAAUUCUUUAUACCUAAUCCGCCUUAGCAUCCAAGAGCUUAUUUUAAUUGCGCAUGGACAGCAUUGACUUUUCACCUGAGAAUCUGAGACUCCAACACUAAACAAAAGGCCUCUAUCUAUACAUGAAUGAGGGCUCCAUUGUUCUCAUAUAAUUAAUUAAGUUAAUACAAUGAACACAACACCUCAAAUGGUUCUUUAUUCCCCCACUUGUAACACCUGCAACUCUUGGUGAGCACCUGGGGGGAAAAGCUGUCAUAAUUAAGUGCUGGUGCAAAUUGAAUAAAUAUAUUAAUCUGCGUCAUCAUUUUGUGGGCCUCGGAGUAACACUCUAUAUAUAGGAUCCCCAUGGUACUCCUAGAAGUCGUUUUGGAAACUAAUAUAUUAGCAAGAAAUUAAAGAUCGAGCACAAUAACUUGGUAGCUUUUUAACCCCUUUGAACCUCUAUGGAGGCAGUUAGCCUUUUUCCAUGCCCCAAAUUAAAUAAUAAUAAUAAUAAAUCUAAUUAUUAUAGUUAAAUAGUGCGUGUCAACAUAUAGUGAGGCAUUAAGUGCCCAAGUCGACAGAGAGAUCAACUAUAUAUAUAUAUAUAUAUAUAUAUAUAUAUAUCACUAUAAUAAAAACGGUAUAUAGCGACACUUUUAAAUAUCGGUAUAAGUUAAAAAAAGUGCUGCUGGCUAAGUUACUGACACUUUUUAAAAGUGUUGUUUUAUGUGAAGUCGCUAGGUAUAGAGUGACACUUUAAGAGUGUCGGUAUAACUUAAAAAGAAUGCUGCUAAUUUACCAACACUUAUUUAAACAUUUAUCAACCAUCGGAACCCUACCUCAUCGACUACGGCGCGGAGGAGGAGGAGUGCGAGGGGCUAUUCUUCUAUGGUUUCAAUAGAUUGAGUGAAGGGAGAAGAAAAAAUGGUGAUUUAUUUUUCUUUUUUGUUUGUAAUCGGGACGAAUGGGCUGGGUGGGGUGGGUUAAGUAGAGUAAUAUUUUAUUUUUGGCUGGAUUGAGCUUUAUAUUUAGACUUUGGUAGAAUUUUUAAAAGUUUUGGCAUAAAUGGGACACUUACACAAAAGUGUCAUAGAAAUGUGUCGCUAUAACCUAAUUCUGUUGUACUACAUAUAUAUAUAUAUAUAUAUAUAUAUAUAUAUAUAUAUGUUUUAUGCUUAUAUAGCAUGCAUGUGUUGUUUAUUCUAUGUGGUUGCAAAUGUUAAUAUUUGUGUAGCAUAUUGUGAUUGUAUGAUUGUUUAUUUUUUUGGGGACAUUAAUACUUGUGUUCUUUCGAUAUUUUUCAGCAAAAUUUAAUUUUGAAAAAAAAGGAUUGGACGUGUGCAGCUUUACUGUAAAUUUUUUUUUUUUUUUUUUUUGAAGUAUAUCUUUAUAGUAAUGUAGAAGAUUUUAUUUUACAAAAGUAAAGAAAUAAUUACGAUCACGUAAUGUAAUGUGUUUUGUCGUAAAGCAAAGUUUUAAUAUUUCGAUUCAUUUCGAUGGGUCGGCCCAACCUUUUCAAAGGGCUGAGGCCCUAAGCUCCACAUUAACCCUAGUUAGUUAAUAUGAUGAAUUAAUUUUUUUAUUCCUCUUUAAUUAAUAAUUAAAAUUUUUGGAGGAAUAUAUUUGUGAUGGCGAAAAAAUUAUUUCACUUAUAAAAUAAACCAGAGGGACAUAAUUGAAAACAUUAGGAUUUUUGUAGAAAUUAUAUAUAAAAGUUGAACUUUGUAGGGAUAUAUUUGUAAUUUACUAUAUUUGUAGGGACCUGCAUGAAAUUAAUCCAAUAUUAAAAUAUCAUUAUUUAUGAACUUAGGUUUUUAGAGUAACUAUUUGCUUACUGGUAUUAAAGUUAAACUCUUUAAUAUUCAAAAUUUUUUAGUAAAGUAGUGUUAUUGACCAAGUGGCAACAUUGGGNUAUAUAUAUAUAUAUAUAUAUAUAUAUAUAUAUAUAGAACUAGGCUGGAAUACUAUUAAUAAUACUAAGCUAUUGGUGCUAUUAGUUUUUUAUCCCUUGGAUUGAGAAAUGUGCGGUUAGGAUAAUGUGGGCUCCCUAGGGUUGAGUGGGUGGUCUGUUGAAUAGUACAAUCUAACGGAUAAAAAUAAUCAAAGAAUUAAAUCUAAUGGUGGAAAACUCGAUAGUAUCCCAGCUGGACUAUAUAUAUAUAUAUAUAUAUUACAGUAUAAGCACAAAUUAUUGAUUGUUUGUUAUUGGUUAAAAUAUAUCAAACUUUUUGUCUCAUAACGAUAAAUUCAGAAAACUAAUAAGUUGAAUUGGAUAGUCCCAUAACUUGACUUGAGCUACGGUCAAUAAUAAAGCUAAUGGCAAGAUAUCCAACAAUAGAACUAACUUUCAGAUGAGUUUGAGUCAAAUAGAAGUCGAUCCGUAAGCGUUGCGAUUGAGCUCUUAAAUAUAAUGGAUGGUGUCCUUUCUAUCAGCACUUAUUUUUGGGAAAGUUGGUGGGCGUUUAUGAUCCACACAAAGCCACUAAUUUGGUCCUUAACAUCAUAUAUAUUCCUCCUUAAACGUACCUAGUUUCUUGUAACUCUACACUUACGCAUCUUUGACUUUUGUGAGUCCCGGUUCUUCGUUGGUUUAAUCAAACAGCUCAUCAUCAACUAUGGCACCAAAGUAAAAAGAAAGGUAAUUAAGUUCAGAAACUUACUUCUUUACGUAAGGUUAUGGAUCAAAUUGCAAUUUCAUCAAAAGUUCAAGUACUGUUAUGACAAACGUACAAACAAUAACGAAAAUAAUGAACACAAAAAAUAGAUAAAUUAUAAUUAAAAAUAAAAAAACACACAAAUUUACACAAAAAAUUCUUUGCAGAAAAAAAAAAAAAAUCACGAAGGAGAACGGAGGAAAAAACUUUAUUAUCAAAAAAAAAAAAAUACAAAGUUCAGAGUACAAUGAUCAAAGUACACAAAAAGAGAAAACAAUAAAGAAGAAAAAAACACUUAACAAGUUUUGAAUCUGAUCUGUACCGUAGAAGGCUCUGCAUCCCACACCUCCUGACGAAUGUCAGUGGUUGGAUACAAACUUGGGCUUAUCGGCCUGAGGCCUCUGUUACCCACCACAUAUUUUUAUUUUUUUUUUCAUAAUUUAUUUUUCAAAUUAGUCGACGAGUCAGAAUCUCAAAACUAAAAUCGAUUACUAAUUUCUAAGCACAUCUAACAAAUACUACUAGUACACUUUAUCAUAAGAUUAGAGGAGGGUGAGUACCCUCCUCACCUCCUGGGUGCCUCCAUGCAUGGCCUUCGCCUAAAGUGGGAUUCCAUUUAUUGAUGAAGCUUUUUCAUGUCCCACUUGAAAUUAAUUUCGAACCCUUAGAAAGACAAAAGAAAAAAAAGAUUAAUAAUUUAAUAUCUUAUAUUUAACACUCUUCGUAUAUUUAGAGAGAGAACCAAUAGGGAGAAAGGGGAUGGGAGAGAGAAAGUUAGAGAGGGAAAGGUGGGGACAACUCGAUUGGUAAAAAAAAAAAAAAAAUGUUUUUAAUAAGGUUAGAUAAGGAACUCGUGCUUCCAAUGAUAUAUACAAUUUUUAUUUAUAAAAAAGUCAGUAAUAAUUGCAAAGAGGACUUUAGCUGGUCAAUGUGCUUUUUGCCUUUUUCGCUCCCGACUAUUAAUAGGGCUUCUUAGUUUAUUCCAUACUUAGAAAUCAAGCUCAACAAAAAUAAUUGCAUGUACUUGGUGUACAUAUAAUAUUAAUUAGUAAUGUUAGAUAGAUAGACGAGGAGACUGUUGCCUUUAAAGGAUAAGUAUUUUGUCACGUGAUAGAAGACCAGAUUGAAUAUAGUCAUGUUUGAAAUAGUGUCGGAUGUUAGGAUUUUCAUAUAUUGUGGCCCAAUUAAUCAUAUAUAAUUUAGGAUUUGCUAUAGAUAAAGGUCAAUCAUAACAAAUUUAGAACUACUUAAUAUGGUAAAUUUUAUCCCUAUCCCAUCUAUUUCAGAUUUAAAUAGAACCCUAAUCAAACUUUGAUGAGAAGUCGAUCUGGACUCUACAUAAAGGGGUAUUGGUCCUGCCACCUUCUCAUACGUAUUCUGGUGAAGAAUUACCAUCGGUUCCACACCAUACGGUAGAGUGCCUGAGACAGGAGGAGAAACCAAAUCACCCAAGUUCGGUUCGUGACUUUCAGAUCAUAGCCGGACUUCACGUUUCCGCAAGAUUGAUCAAGAAUUUCUUCUCUAUGACGCUCUGUGAGUUAUCUUAUAAUUUUGUUUUGAUCCUGAAUUUUGAUAUGUAUUUAUUUUUGGUUUUAUUUUUACAUACCUAUAAAGUCUAUAAAUUGGUAUCAGAGCCAUAAGUUGAUAAUAUUAAACAUCGUAUGCAUAAUUUUUUUUUAAAAAUCAAUUGUGCUGAACCUCUGAAAUUAAUUUUGACACGGUUUACCGAUGUCAGAGUAAUUUUGAAAACUUUAUUUAAUUAUGCAUACGCCUUAAUUACAUAUGCACAUACUGCGGCCUUUAUAGAAGUCGUGCUGUUCAUCAUCCUUUAUAGAAUCUGCACCGUGUGCGACUCUGAUUCCGAUUAUCGCGACCGUCGAUCCGAAAAGCACGGUCGUGCGAUGAGCGUGGAUGAGAAGCACACGGGAUCAGAUCCCAUGCCUUAAUUAAUUUGAGCAUGGUUACUAUGGAUCUAAGGCUCAUGUGAAAUUAGGUUUAAAUUUUGGGGAAGAAGAUGAACAGUAGCUUUAUUAGGCUUAUAUUUGCUAACCUCGGUUACUUUUUAAUUUGCAACUUGGGUUGGUAUCUUCUGGGUUUUUGCGUGCAUACUGAACUUAAGGGGAUCAAAUUGCAAAUUAGAGAUCAUACUUGUUCUUUGUAUUAAUUUUGCAAUUUUGUCGUUUAUUAUUCGUCAUUAUUUAAUUUUGACUCUUGCCCUUUAUGAAGUGCUGUGAGCAUAAAGUUUUGUUCACAUAAAUUUUGUUGACUUAUUAUAAAGUUAAUUAUAUAUGUGGUCAAAUUAGAAUAUAUAAAGUUUAAAUUUGAUUGUGAUAUUAUGUCUUAAAUUAUCGCAUCUAUAUUCUUAUUUUGACCGGAUAAACAUGAAAAUUAAAUAAUUAUAAUUGUUUUUCGAUUAUUUAAUGUUUGGUGCUAAGUUGAAUUAAUUUAUUAUUUUGAUUAGUUAGGUGCAAGUCAAAGCGGUCCUAAUUAAAAGAAAUAAUGAUUUAAUUUACUUUAAAGUAGCGCUUCCGGAUAAUUUUCAUGUUAAUUAUGCAGCACUAAGUCAGAUUAAUUUAUUGCUUCAACUAUUCGGGUGCAAGCAAAAGCGGCCCCGACCGGAAGAAAAGAUAAAUUAAUUGCUUUAAAGAAGUGCAUGCGAAAUUGCACCCUAAUAUUGUGUUUAGUCUGCUCCCAAAGGAGGUCUAGACAUGAAGGUACAUGGGUGGUGUAGGAUGGUAAUUUUCUUAUAACUCGUUUGGAGAAAUUUGCCUGGCCAAAGCUGACAAUUUUUCUAUAUGGAAAAUUUGAAAUUACUAAGACCUGCAGAAAGAUUAAUUAGUCUCUGAUAAAGAGAUUGCAUAGUUAUGCUCAUAACUCUGCUCCCACAGGAGGGGUUGUGAUGUCAUAUAAAGUAUAUGCAUAAAGAACGAAAAAUACUUAUACUCAUAACUCUGCUCCCAAAAGAGGGGUUGUGAUAUCAUAUACAGUGUAUUUCUCUAAUUUUGAUGUGGUAAUUUUAUUUAGAUGUGGUAUUUUAUUGAUAAAACAUGCAUUUUAUUUUUCAGCUAUGACUCCAUUUUCUGUUCCUAUUGGUGAAUCUGUUCCUAUACUUAAUGGUUCUAAUUAUUCGGAGUGGAAAGAAUAGAUCAUGUUCAUUUUGGGCUAUAUGGAUUUAGAUUUGGCUCUGCGCGCUGAGCAACUGCCUAAGGUAGUGGGGCCAAUGACUCCACAGCAGGAAUCCGCGCAGGAAAAAUGGGAGCGAUCCAACCACUUAAGUUUGAUGUUCAUAAAGUCAAGAGUAUCAAAAAGCAUAAGGGGAUCAAUCCUAAAAUGUGAUAAAGCCAAGGAUUAUCUAAAGGCCAUUGAGGAGCAAUUUAUUAGCUCCGAUAAAACCUUAGCGAGCACCUUAAUGAAUAAACUGUCUUCCAUGAAGUACUCCGGAAAUGGCUCGAUUCGCGAGAAUAUUAUGGAAAUGCGAGAUAUUGCAGCGCAACUCACCGCACUUGAAGUAACCAUCUCUGAUUCAUUCUUAGUGCACUUUAUUUUGAACUCUUUGCCAUCUGAAUACGGACCAUUUCAGAUCUCUUAUAACACACAAAAAUAAAUGGUCAAUUAAUGAAUUGCUGACUAUGUGUGUGCAAGAGGAAGGCAGAUUAAUACAAGAGAAACAAAAUGCAGUCAACUUUGUUUCUCAAAAGAGACAAAUCAAGCGUACUAAGAAUGGCAAAGGCAAGAAUGACUCAAAAAGGAAGAACAAGGAAGUUCCAUCUGGUUCACAAGGCCAAUCAAGUAAUUGGACUCCCAAGUGCUUCUUUUGUAAGAAUAGGGGUCAUAUAAAGAAAGACUGCCAAAAGUAUCAGAAAUGACUCCAGAAGAAAGGUAAAUUUCUGGUUUUGAUGCAUGAGUUGCAUUUAGUUUCAAUUCCGUCUAAUACUUGGUGGAUUGACUUUGGUGCCACAUGCCACGUGGCGAAUUCGGUGCAGGGAUUUCAGAAUGGGAGAAAACCCAAUAAAGAUGAAGCAACUAUCUAUACAACUGAAGGAAAUCCAACUAAAGUGGAGUUUGUAGGGACAUUUAGAUUAGUUCUUUCUACUGGUCACAUUUUGGAUUUAGUUGAUAUAUUUUAUGUUCCAAAUUUUUCUAAGAAUUUAAUUUCUAUUUCGAAACUUGUUGGAUUGGGAUAUAGUUUCAGUUUUAAUAAUAAAAUUUUUUCCUUAUCUUAUAAAUCUCAGAUAGUUGGCUCUGAUGUUUUGGAAAAUAAUCUAUAUAAAGUAUUUUUAGAUGAUUCAUUUAGUGAAAUCCUUCUUACCAUGCACGGAAAUGUUGGAUCAAAACGUGGCAUUAAUAAUGAAAAGUCAUCCAUGUUAUGGCAUAAGAGGUUAGAACACAUCUCAAAACAGAGAAUUCAAAGAUUAAUUAGAGAAGGCAUUUUAGAUGAUUUGGACUUCUCUGACUUUGGAAUAUGUGUGGACUGCAUAAAGGGAAAGCAGACCAAAACCUCCUCUAAAGGUGCUAAAAGAUGUGAUGGAACAAUAGAAUUGAUUCAUACAGAUAUAUGCGGACCUCUUCCUCUCUCUAUUACUGGCCAUAAAUAUUUUAUCACAUUUACUGAUGACUACUCUCGAUAUGGCUAUCUCUACUUGCUUAAAAAAAAAAAUCUGAAGCAUUAGAUGCCUUUAAGGCAUAUAAGGCUGAAGUAGAAAAUCAACUCGAGAAAAGAAUAAAAGUAGUCAGAUCAGAUAGGGGUGGUGAAUAUUUUGGUAAACAAACAGAUAAAGGACAAAUUCCUGGACCUUUUGCUAAGUUUCUGGAGCAGUGCGUAAUUGUUCCACAGUACACCAUGCCAGGGAGACCUGAUUUGAAUGGUGUUGCUGAAAGAAGGAACCGCACAUUAAUUGAUAUGCUCAGGAGUAUGAUCAGUAAUUCUACCCUUCCGAUAUCAUUGUGGAGUGAGGCACUCAAAACUACCAUGUAUAUUCUUAAUCGGGUCCCUACUAAGGCUGUCACUAAGAUUCCUUUUGAGCUUUGGACAGGUAGGAAACCCAGUUUAACACAUUUUCAUACAUGGGGUUGUCAAGCUGGGGCCAAGUUGUAUGAUCCACAAAUAAAGAAAUUGGAUCCUCGAACCAUAUCAGGAUAUUUUAUUGGUUAUUCGGAAAGGUCCAAAAGGUAUAAGUUUUACUGUCCAUCACUUAAUUCCUAUAAAGAUUGCAGAAACUAAAACAGCACGGUUUAUUGAGGAUGGUACAAAUAGUGGGAGCUCUGAACCUCGAUUCAUUGAAUUUGAAGAAAUUCAUGAGCAUUCGGAUUCUGUACAUGACAGACCCACUGUUGUCCCUCACGAUUUGUUGGUUCCUAUUCCAGUAGAACAACAAGUUGUUUUGGAACCACAAAGUGAUUGUGAACCUAUCAUUGAUAAUUCACACCAAGAUGUACAAGUGGAUAAUUCACAUCAAGAUGUACAAAUGAAUGAUCCACAUCAAGAUAUACAUGUGGAUAAUCAGAUAGAUUUAAGAAGAUCCUCAAGACAGAGAAGACCGGCUAUAUCGAGUGACUAUAUUAUCUAUCUUUAUGAGAAUGGCCAGAGUUUAGAUGAUCCUCUUAGUUUUUUCGAAGCCAUAAAUAGUAAUAAUUCUACGGAAUGGUACAAUGCCAUGAAGGAUGAGAUUGAAUCCAUGAACCACAAUAAGGUAUGGGAUCUUGUUGAGUUACCAAAAGGAGUUAAACCCGUAAGAUGCAAAUAGGUUUAUAAAAAUCAAAUGGGACUCCAAGGUAACAUAGAGAGAUACAAGGCCCGUCUUGUGGCAAAAGGAUUUACUCAAAAGAAGGCAUUGACUAUAAAGAGACUUUCUCUCCAGUAUCUAGAAAGGAAUCUUUUCGUAUUAUUAUGGCUCUGGUUGCUCAUUUUGAUCUCGAGCUAUAUCAGAUGGAUGUCAAAACUGUUUUUUUAAAUGGAGAUCUCUAUGAAGAGGUGUAUAUGAAUCAACCUGAAGGAUUCUCGCAAAUAGGAAAGGAGCACAAUGUAUGCAAAUUAAAAAAAUCAAUAUAUGGACUAAAGCAGGCCUCCUGACAAUGGUAUUUAAAAUUUAAACAAACUAUUUUGACUUUUGGUUUUAAGUAAAAUAUUGUUCAAUGUAUUUAUCUAAAGGUCAAUGGGAGUAAAAUAAUUUUCUUAGUCCUUUAUGUUGAUGAUAUUUUGCUUCCCAGUAAUGAUUUUAGGCUAUUGCAUAACACUAAAGAUUUUCUUUUCCAAAAUUUUGAAAUGAAAGAUUUAGAUGAGGCCUCAUAUGUUCUUGGUAUUGAAAUCAAAAGGGAUAGACAUAAAGGUUUACUCGGUCUAUCUCAAAAGGCCUACAUAAAGAAAAUUUUGAAAAAUUUUAAAUGCAUAAUUGUAAGCCCAGUAUUGCUCCUGUCCAGAAAGGGGAUAAGUUUAAUGCUUUUCAGUGUCUCAAAAACCAAUUAGAAAUUGAACAGAUGGAAAACAUAUCCUAUGCCUUUACAGUUGGUAGUCUUAUGUAUGCACAGACGUGCACAUGUCCGGAUAUUGCUUUUGCCGUUGGAUUCUUGGCAGAUAUUAAAGUAAUCCAAGCAUUGAGCAUUGGAAGGCUGCUAAAAGAUUAUGAGGUAUUUGAAAGGAACUUUGGAUCAUAUUGCAUGUUACGAGACCACAUUACAGGCUAUUUGGCUUAGGAAUUUUAUCACAGACUUAAGAAUUGUGGACUCCGGUGUUUAUCCAAUAAAGAUUUUCUGUGAUAGUUCAGCUGCGGUUUUCUUUGCCAAUAACAACAAGAUUGCAGCGGGGUGUAAACACUUGGACACUAAAUUUCUUAUUGUGAGAGAGAAAAUAGAUGAAGGUUAUAUUACAAUUGAAUACAUCAAUACCAAGUGUACGAUUGCAGACCCAAUGACCAAGGGGCUGGCACCUGGGUUAUAUACGGAUCAUGUUAGAAAUAUGGGUUUGAUUAGUUCUUUCGAUGUAUAAAAUUGUAAUACUUAUUUUCUUUCAAUAAAGUUAAGGUUUAAUGUAGCUGUGUUGGACCAUUUAAUAGAAAUAAAGUUUCAUCUAUAAACGAAUGAAUAUACAAUUUAAAUUCAUUGAUAAAGUUGUGCCAUAUAAAGUACUCGGCUAGAAGGUGAAGAUGAUACGGUAAUUAUGGAAGGAAAAUUUCGUUAUGAAGAUGUGGACCGCCAUAGUUUCUAUCAUUGUAGUCUUUAGUUUGAGCUAAAGAUCAAGUGAGUUCUAAGGUAUUUGACCAUAAAGUUUUCAAUAAUGUGCAAUAAAGAUUGGAGUAUAGAAAAUCAGUUAAUGGAAUAUGAUUAAUAUGAGCCAAGUGGGAGAUUGUUAGGAUUUCCAUAUAUUGUGGCCCAAUUAAUCAUAUAUAAUUUAGGAUUUGCUAUAGAUAAAGGUCAAUCCUAACAGAUUUAGAACUACUUGAUAUGGUAUAUUUUAUCCCUAUCCCAUCUAUUUCAGAUUUAAAUAGAAUCCUAAUCAGACUUUGAUGGAAAGUCGAUCUGGACUCUAUAUAAAGGGGUAUUGGUCUUGCCACCUUCUCAUACGCAUUCUGGUGAAGAAUUACCAUCGGUUCCACACCAUACGGUAGAGUGCCUGAGACAGGAGGAGAAACCAAAUCACCCAAGUUCGGUUCGUGACUUUCAGAUCAUAGCCGGACUUCACGCUUCCGCAAGAUUGAUCAAGAAUUUCUUCUCUAUGGCGCUCUGUGAGUUAUCUUAUAAUUUUGUUUUGAUCCUGAAUUUUGGUAUGUAUUUAUUUUUGGUUUUGUUUUUACAUACCUAUAAAGUCUAUCAUGGGACUGAUUGGGCUAAGUCAUCAUUGAAAUCCAUAGGCGCUGUGUUGUAUCUGUACGCUUUAACAAGUGAAUUAUUUAUAUCUUUCUAACAGCUCUAGUUUAGGCAAAGACAGGUAUUAAUCGAGAGGAAAAGAGUAGAACCAUUUCUUAUUCGCACAUGCAUGAGAAUACAAAGUGACAAGUUGGUAGCAAGACCUAAUUAAAGUCCUUACACAUCACACGAUAAUAAUACUAACAUACAUAAUUUACAAAUGCGAAAAAGUAAAAGUUGGUGCAGCAGCUCGAUCCGAUCGGGUUCUUGAUUACUUCUAGGGGUUAUUUAUCGGGCAAUUCCCGCACACGAUGUUCGGAUCGUUGGUGCAGCAGGAGUGACCCGGCAUUCUACGAUCGCGACUCGUCAUCGCUGACGUCUGCGUCGUCGCAGCAGUCUGCUGAGACGUCUUCAAUCCGUCUCCUUCCACAGAAAAGCGCUCCCGCCGAGGCCUAGCCCCCGCCAUUACAAGGUGCAGCGUGGUUGAGCUCACCAUCAUCAUCACCAUCAUCAUCGUUGUUGUAAAGGCAAUGAGGAGGACGACCACCUGCAGCAGUUUUGAGCUAGGAGCCAUUGAUAUAUUUGCACAGAGAAUAAGAGCUGUCAGGAGAAGCAGCUAGCAAGAGAGAGAGAGAGAGAGAGGAGGGUUUUUGCACAUGUGGGACAAUCAGCUAAGGCUGCGGAAGUGGCUUUAUAGAAGCAGAAUUUUGGAGCACUUGAUGAAACAAUAUGCACGCAUGCGCACUAGGGAGAGACUUUUUGGCCUUAACCUAACAAUUAAAUAAGCUAUAUAUAUAUAUAUUGUGGCCAGCUGUGCUUUUGCGUUUCAGUGGUCGUGCAUGGAGCUAGCAUGCAUGCAUGCAUGCAUGCAAUAGUAGGCUGAAAAAAUUGCUCAGAUUAUUAUGCUGAGCAAACAAGCUGUCGAAAUUAUUGGGAAUUAGAUGGAUCGUUCGUUGUACGCUAUCAACAUAGAUAUACGAAACAAAGAAAACCGAACUAUAAAAAAAAAUAAAUGCAGAAAGAAAAAAAUCCAGAUUUACAUGAUUCUUUAAUUGCCUACGUCCACGGAAAGAGCGAGAAAGAUAUAUUCCAACUAUAUAAAAAAUAAAUAAAUGUACAAUCUUAAAUUCUACCUUUUUCUUAUUCCAACAAAAAUUCUAAACAUAACCGAAAAAAGUUUUUGUAAAACUAUAAUCGAGAAUACUAAAGUAGAGAAGUAUAAAAAAGCUACUAUGUUAUAAGAAGUAUAAAGAAUUUGGUGCUUCCGAUUUUUUAGCUGUUGAAUCAAGACUUGUGCGGCUAGAAUAAUUGCGGUACUCCCUAGGAUUGAGUGGUUCUCCUAGAGUUGAAUGGUCGUCAUAGGAUAAUAAUAUUAAUCUAAAUAUUAGAAAUGAUCAAAAUAGUUGAUCUAAAGGUCAAAAAGUUAGAAGCACCAGAUACGCUAUACUUCAUAUAUAUAUAUAUAGAGCUAGUCUCCUAUAUUAUCUAUAGUACCGGGGCUUCAGUACUAUAGUCUCGUUUUCGAAAUUAGAGUGUUCAAAUCAACGACACACACCGUUAAAACUGAUUUAGGGUAUUUAAAGUUUUUAGAAAUAAAAUUUUAUAUUUUUUCGACAUAUUUUAUUUUAUAAUCAAACCAUUUUAAAAUUGUCAGUUUUCAAUGGCUAUUAUGACGAGUUUGGAGUUUAACGGUGUAGAAGAAUCUAAAUUUCUUUAAAUUUUAAUAGAAAUUCUUUAAACUAUCUAGAUUAAGGUUAACAUUCUUGAUCUUGAAUUUAAAAGUCCUAUGCUCAAAUUUUAAAGAUUAUUCAAUUUCCACCAUCCAUUUUGACAUAAUUUAUUUACUAAGUAAACGAUGCCGAAAAAAACUAAAAUUUUAUUUCUAAAAACUUCAUAUACCCUAGAUUAUAUUUAACGGUGUGGAUCGUUAAUUUGAACAUCCUAAGAUCGCAAACAAGACUAUAGUACUAGAGCUUCAGUACUAUAGAUAGUGUAGUAGCCUAAUUCUAUAUAUAUAUAUAUAGUCCGGUUAUGGUGUUUGUAAAGCACAAAGCACUUGGUGUUUGUGAAUUUUUUACCGUUAGAUCUACGCUUUUGAUCAUUUUCACCCGUUAGAUUAUACUAUUUAACCAAUCACCCACUCAACCCUAUAGGGCUCAUAUCAUUCUAACCGCACAUCUCUUAAUCUAAGGGCCAAAAACUUGAUACUUUUAAGAGCAUAGGAGCUCAAUUCUCUCUCUCUCUCUCUCUCUCUCUCUCUCUAUAUAUAUAUAUAUAUAUAUAUAUACACUAUUGGAACUAUUUAGAAAACUAAAUUUCAUAAUUUUUCGAUAUCAUUUACCACAUGAUCAAAAGGCCUAAAAAAUGACUAUUUUAGUGGUUGAUGUGGUAUGUUUUUAAGUUCAACGGUAUAGAACUAUCCAAAUUACAUAAAACUUCAAUAGAAAAUUCUAUUUAACAUCAACAGGAAGAUCAAUACUUUUGAUUCGAAAAUUGAGUCUUUCAUCGCUAUUUUUUUUAUGAAUUUUUAUUUUCAGUCAUUUAUUUUUAGGCUACUCGUUCAAUAGGUAAAUGAAGUCAAAAAUUAUAAAAUUUAUUUUCUAAAUAAUUUCAAUAGCGUAGAUUAUGCCUAAUGGAGCUGAUCGUCAAAUUGGAUGUCAUAUCAUCAAAAACAACUUACAAAUACGGAUGUCUUCAUACUUUCGAAAGUACAGGAGACAUACUCAACAAAAUAAUUAGUUUUUACAAAAUAUUUGUAAUAAAUAUUACAGUUUAUUAUAGAGAUAUAUAUCAUCACUAGCAAACGAUGUUACUUAUACACAAUAUAAUUGUUAUUCUAAUAUAUUAUAUAAUUGUGAUAAGUGAAACUUUGCCAAUAUUUUGAGUUUCUAUUUUUAUUUAGCCAAAUUUGGCUCGAGCUUAAUUAACACAAGGACAAAUUCGUGCUGUGAGGGCAUCGUGCGUUUGUGCGACCGUUCCACCACGCACUAAUUAAGAAGGGUAAUUAAGUGCAUACCAACAUUAGAGCCCAACGUUUCAUGCUUAAUUAGUCCUCUUUAUAUAUAUAUAUAUAUAUAUAUAGAGAGAGAGAGAGAGAGAGAGAGAGAGAGAGAGAGAGAGAGAGAGACUGGUAUACUAUCGAUAGCACAAAGGCGUCCAUACUACCAAGUUGUUUUCAAUGAUGCGGCUUCUAAAUCGACGAUCGUCUCCGUUAGACUUGAUCUACACUAUUAAAAAUAUUUGAAAACUAAAUUUCAUAAUUUUUCGACAUCAUUUAGCUAGUGAUCAAAAUGUCUCAAAAUUGGCAAUUUUAAUAGUAGAUGUAAUGUAAUGUCUUUGUGAAUUUAACGGUGUAAAACAAUUCAAAUCUGAUGAAAAUUUUAUAGAAAAUUAUUUUCACAAUUUAGAGUAAGAUCAGUAACUCUGAUUUUAAAUUCAAGUCUUUUAUCAUCAUUUUUUAUGAGAUUUUUAUUUCCAGCCGCUCGUUUUUAGACUGCUCGUUUGAUAGGUAAAUAAUGUUGAAAAAUUAUGAAAUUUAGUUUUCAAAUACUUUCAAUAGUGUAGAUCAAGUCUAACAGAACCGAUCAUCGAUUUGGAAGCCGCAUUAUUGAAAACAACUUGAUAGUACGAAAGCAUCUGUGUUACCGAUAGUAUACCAGCCUAGCUCUAUAUAUAUAUAUAUCGUCUACGGUUGAUGUUGAUAUGAGGUGAACAUUAUAGAAAAAACAAAAGUGAGAGAGAAAAUAUUGUUUGAGAGAUAUUUUCAUUUUUUUUUUUUUUAACUUUCAUUGUUUCAUUGGAUUACUAAUUUCUUCAUCGAGUGUUGAAAAAAGUUUCAUCAACCUGCCUCACCACGAUCAUGCUCGCAGGAAGAAAAAUUCCGAUCGUACUUUGGGAUAGUAUUUUCGGUUAAUUCCGGACAAAUGAUGGAAAUACACAUCUUAGGGCAGUGCCUCGCACGCUUUCGGAUCAAAUCGUUUGGCUUUCUUCUUCCACAAUUAUUUAAAAUUUUAGCGAUCAUCUGUGAGUUAAUUAAUUUAUUAAUUUCAUCACAAAAUUAUUUAGAUUUUAAUCACAAUCCAAUUUUCAGUGCGGUAUCUCCUAACAUUACUUUUAUUAGAGGACAGAGAAAGAGUUAUGUGUACAUGCACACACACUUGUAGCUUCUGCUUGCAGAGGAGCCAAUUCUGAAAUGAACUGGUGCACUUUAUAUUAUUUCAUGCAUGGACAGAUUCUUCAUAAUGGAGUGCUCAUGCUUUAGCCAAUAUUGAUAUGAAUAGUCUCAUAUAUAAUUUAAGCAAAAAUAAAUAAAUAAAUGAGGGACUACUAUUUGCCAGAAAGAAAUAAAAUGCAACAAGUAAAGCAAGCAUGUGCCAGCUAGAGCACCUCUGUAAAGCAGUAAAUUAUAACUUUUCUGCACUGCAUGAAUAUUUUAUGUGUAAGUUAGUUAGGUUUGAAAGUCUGAAAGAUGCCAACAACUGAAACGAAGAAAGCCUGAAAGAUGCGAUCUGAUUUUGUGAGUGAGAUUCAAUUGACCACCAAGUGUACGUGCAUAAUAAUUUACAGUAAUAUUGUUUUUUUUUGAGAAAUAGAUAGCUCGCUAUCCGCUUCAUUUAUUAGGAAAAUGAACUACGCUUACAUAAUGGAGGCAGCUAGGGCCUCCGAAGGGAGAGAAAGUGACAAAAGUGAGAAAAAGGACAAAAACAAAGACAGAGAAGAAAAACGGAAGCGAAGAAGCAGCAUAUCCCAAAAAACCGAAGUAAUCAAUGUGGAGCGGUCCAGGUGUCCAGUAAAAGCUUAAUCCGAUCCAGGCACCGGAUAGGGUUGGGGGCACUGUCUCGAAAGAUUAUAGCAUUCCUUUCCGUCCAAACUACCCAUGCCACCAGAUGGCAGAGAGGGUUGAGAGAGAAGAAAGUCUCUCGUAAUAUUGUAUAGUAGGAUCAAUUUACAGUAAUAUUGUAUAUAUAUAGUAUAGUACGUAGGAUCAAGCAAAGUGCAAAAUAAGAAGGAAUCUAAGAACCCUCCAUCAGUACCGUAGCAUUAAUUUAAUGACCAACCAAUUGCAGUAACUAAACAUCCCACCUGAAAUUAAAGUUAGGGGCAAUUACUUAUGUAUCGUAAAAAGUUUUCAAAUUUUUUAUUUAUUUUUUUUCAAAGGCUAAUAUUAAAAAUAUUCUUUUAACGUUUCAAGUUAUUUCAAAUAUAUGUCUAGAGUUUAAAAAUUCUGCCAAUAAAUGAUUAGCAAGAGCUAUUCUCUCUGUGAGAUAACUAUUUUACUCUUUCAGAUAUAUACUCGUAUGUAUAUCGUCACCAAUUUUUCUUUUUUGUCCUUAAGUUAUGAGCAAAAAUAGUAUUUUGAUUUUCUAUUUUCUCACAUAUACUUUUUUAUCAUCAUCAAUUUUUCUUAUUUAUUCUUAAGUUAAGGGCAAAAAAGAUAUUUUAAUUUUUUUUUAAAUUUUGAUAGAAAUUUAAUUUGAAUUUAAUCCGAAAUAACUUAACGGAUACUAAUAAUAGGGAUAUUUUUGAAUAACUAAGAAAUAUAUAUACUAUGGGUAUAUUUGAAAUAGAAAAAAAAGUAAGAAUAUAUUUGAUAUUUCAGAAGUUUUCAAAGGCGUAUUAGAUAUUAUUUUUUAAAGUUAAUUACAUGACCCCUUGUAAUCCUCAAAGACCACCAAGGCAUCAACUACAGGGCCGCUAGUUAUUAAUAAUUGUUUUUGCACUAUAUUAAACUGUCUGCAACCAAGGCCACUGGAUUGGAUUCAGUGGGUUCUAAUAUUAAUUAAUUAAACUUGAUGCCCACUAUAUUAAACUCACCUAAGCUCUAACUAUAUAUAUAUAUAUAUAUGUAGUAUUAAUUAAAAUGUCAACCCUUGUACUAUGAUACACAAGUUUCCCUAGACCCGCAUGAUUGUGGAAAAAAAUAAUUUUUUUUUAAAAAAAGAGCCAAAGUUUGAAACAUGUAUACAAAUAAGCUUGUCUCGUCUUUCUUUAGAAUACUUAGAAUAUAUAGAAUACAGAAUUUUAUAAUUUAGGAAUACAUCGUAUAAAAUAGGAAAUGCUGAAAGAAGAUGCCAUCCAAUCUGGUGCUCUACAUAUUUUGGAUUUUGUCUGUUGCAGAAUCUUCUGAAAAAGGAAAGGCUGAAAGAUGAAUAUAUCCAAUUAAUUUGGUACUUUUCGUCCACUGGCUAGCAAUUAAAAUUUAAUCAUGCAUGGGAUGAUAAUGUAGGUUUACUUUGAUAGUGCUUAAUUUCAGGUAAGAGAUCUUGCAUAAUACAAUUUCUCAUGCAUUUGAGCAUUUCUUAUGCCUAAACAGGUCGUAGAAGAAUUAACUAAUUUUUUUAAUUCCAUUUAAAUAACUUACAUACAUCACACAAGAAAAUUUUGCUAAGUAUAAAAUGCCCAAAUAAGAAAAGCAAAGCUCAAGGAGUCUUAAUGAAAAAAAAAAAAACAAAAAAGUUCAAGGGGUCUAAUUUAAACCGACCUAUAUAUAGGUGCUGAGGGGCCUCCGUUGGCACUUUUGCCUAGCAAUAAUUAGGGAUAGAAAUGUUAUUUUGUUUUAUAAAGAUUAACUAAAACAAACUGAGAAUUAUAGCACGGAUAAUCAGGAUAAUUUAUGAAGUUUGACAGGAUCUUGACGAUAUUUCAAUGUUUUGAGUACUCUAUAAUAUUUUUAAAAUUUAUAAGGGUAUCAUGAAAUUGUUGCUAGCCUAUAAAUAGCAGUUAAAGGGUAAGUCUCGAAUUAAGCGAAAAAAAAAUUCCUAAAAAUUUAGGGCAAAAUAUGGGACGAGAAAUAUACAUAACCCUAAACGGUCCAACGACGGUUGUCUGCCAACCAAAUUGGCCCACCAAAAAUUGAGGAAUCUACUGAAGGAAGAAAGUUUGAAAGAUGCGACCAGAUACCGACCGUCCCUAGAGCAAAUGGCAAAGAAUUUGGUAGUUGGUAUACGAGGUCUCAAGUUCGAAUACUAGUUGAUUCACAUUACUAGCUAAGUUUAUUUCUAAAUGAAAUAAACGAAGUAGGUAGCUUGCUACCUAUCUCUCAAAAAAAAAAGAAAGAUGCCACCAGAUUUGGUCAGAUUCCAUUGACUACCAAGCCAAGUGCAAGAAAAGGAAUUUAGAAUCCUCUAUCAGUACUAUAGCAUUAGUUUAAUGAUCAACCAAUUGCCAUAAUUAAACAUCCCACCUGAAAUUAAAUUAUAUGACCCUUGUCUCAUCCAACACCAUGUUAAUUAAACUCAUGCACCCAAGCACUAACUAUAUAUAUAUAUAUAGAGAGAGAGAGAGAGAGAGAGAGAGAAGGUCUUGUGUGCUAUUAGGAGCACGGAGGCCUCCGUGCUCCUAAACCAUUUUCAAUUAUGGAGUUUUCGAAUCGAUGAUCGGCUCCGUUAAACUUGAUCUAACAUAUUUGAAGUACCUAGAAAAUAAAUUUUGUGACUUUUCGAUAUCAUUUACCUAACGAUCGGAAGGGUUCAAAAUCAGCGGCUGAAAAUAAAAAUCUCACAAAAAGUAGUUAUAUAACAUUAAAAUUUUGGAUUAAAUAUAUUGAUUUUGCUAUAAAUAGUAUAAAGAAUUUUCUAUCAAAAUUUCAUUUGAUUUGAAUACUUCUAUACCGUUAAACUUGUAAACGUACUCUAUAUAUAUAUAUAUAUAUAUAUAUAUAUAUAUAUAUAUAUAUAUAUAUAUAUAUAUAUAUAUAUAUCCAAAACUAGAUAAUACUAUCGGAUAGCAAAUAGGCUCCCGUGUGCCACCCAUUUGUUUCGAUGAUGGAGCCUCCAAAUCGAUGAUCAGUACCGUUGAACAUGAUCUAUAUCCAAACAAUUAAUUUUUUGUUAGAAAAUUUUAAACUAUUUAAAAUAAGAUCUAUACUCUUGAUCUUGACUACAAGACUCCUAUCAUCAUUUUUUAAAGAAUUCAUUUUCAGCUGUUCAAUUUUGUGUUCACUCGAUGGAUAAGAAAUAAAUAUCGAAAAAAUAUGAAAUUUGAUUUCUAAACACUACAGUGGUAUAGAUCAUGUCAAUCGGUACCGAUCGUCGAUUUGGAGGCCCCAUAUCGAAACAAAAUGGGUGCAAGGAGCCCGGUUUGCUACCGAUAGUAUCUACGCUCAACUCUCUCUCUCACUCUCCUAUAUAUAUAUACUAUUAUAUAUAUAUAUAUAUAGCUAGGCUGGUAUAUUAUCGGUAGCACGGAGGCCUCUAUGCUACCAAGUUGUUUUCAAUGAUGCGGCUUCCAAAUCGACGAUCGGCUCCUUUAGACUUGAUCUAUAUUAUUAAAAGAAUUUGGAAACUAAAUUUCAUAAUUUUUCGGCAUUAUUUCGCUAGUGAUCAAAAGGUCUCAAAAUUGAUAAUUUUAAUGGUAGAUGUGAUGCAUUUGUGAAUUUAACGGUGUAAAACAAUUCAAAUCUGAUGAAAUUUUUAUAGAAAAUUCUUUUUACUAUUUAAAGUAAGAUCAGUACCUCUGAUCUUAAAUUCAGAUUUUUUAUCAUAAUUUUUUACGAGAUUUUUAUUUUCAGCCGUUCAUUUUUAGGCUAUUCGUUUGAUAGGUAAAUGAUGCCGAAAAAUUAUGAAAUUUAGUUUCCAAAUACUUUCGAUAGUGUAUAUCAAGUCUAAUGGAGCCGAUCGUCGAUUUGGAAGCCGCAUCAUUGAAAACAACUUGGUAGCACGGAGGUCUCCGUGCUACUGAUAGUAUACCAGCCUAGCGCUCUCUCUCUCUCUCUCUCUCUAUAUAUAUAUAUAGUAUUUAAAAUGUCAACCUUAUAUGAUUAUACUAGUUACAAAUAAUUAAAUUAUCUUGAUCCAAUGGGACUAAAUAGCAUCAUUGAUCCAUGAUCCUCUGUUUUACAGCAAUAAAAUCACUUGAAAGAUCAAAAAUCUUACAAAACGGUCAAAUAGUGUCGAAAUAUUAUUUUAAAAAUUAAUUUCUUUUACAAUUCCACACAAACCAUUAUUGGAUAUCAAAAUUUGUGUCCAAAGCAACCUUAGGAACUAUUAUCUUUUCACUCGAUGGGCAUUAUUGUAGAAAAAUAAUAAUAAAAAAAAGACAAAGUUGUAAACAUGUAUACUUUUCAAAAAAGCUUGUAGUUGAACAAUCUUCUGAAAAAGAAAAGGCAGAAAGAUGUAUCCAAUUAAUUUAGGUUUACUUUAAUAGUGCUUUCAAAUACAUUAUUAUGAUUAAGGAAGGGGACAAUAAAUAAUUUAGAAAUUAAUCCACUAUUACUUUAAUAGUGGAACACUGAUUUAAUGCGAACAAAAAAAAUCUCAUUCCUAAAGUAUAUUAAACUAAAUUCUUCCUCCUUAAAUUCCAUUGCAUUCUAUUUUGUUUGGUGCCAAACGGAUUGCGUCAGACGUACAGCCAGUUGGCGGACCAAACGGAUUGCGCCACGCGUCAGGUCACGAUUUUCUGCGGCGACACUAUCACAAGUAAAUAGAAAUUUGAUCCAUUCUGAAAUAUAAAUUUGGCAGGACUAUUCAUAAUACAAAUGAUACUUUUUCAAUUCCUAUAAUUUGAGACCAGAUUUACAGUAAGUUCAUUUUCUAUUUGUUAAGCUUUAUCAAUAACUCCUAAAAAGCACCUUUUCCACCUUAGUUACAAAUUCAUUUCUAACUCUAUUAUUGUAAAUUAAACGAUAGAGUAGUCACAUCAAAUCUAUUUCCCUUGUUUUGUUUUUUUUAACCAAAUAACAAGACAAAAUGAGAAUUCAAUUGAACUCUUAUUUGAUGCAACUAAAAAAAAAAUUCAUUUUUUACACUGUGAUUUAAUGCAGACAAAAAUGUCCAUUUGUAAAAUAAAUUUAAUUAAAUUCAUCCCUUCUAAAUUCUUGGAAAAACUUCAAAUACCACCCCUGUUUCACACUUUCUCACUUUAGUACCCUAUGGUUUAAAGUGUAUAAAUUUAGUGUCCUGUGGUUUCAUUUUUAUCUUUUUAUUAUCGAUUUUACUAAUUUUUUUCGUUAAAUCAGUGACAAAGUUAAAACUAAAGAGUACUAAAGUGAAUAUUUGAUAAAUCUAGGUAGGAUAUAUGAAGUUUUUUGUAUAUAAUUUAACGAAAUAUUAACGAAAAAGCUGACGAAAAGAUUAAAAAAAAAAAAAAACCACAGAACACUUACUUGAUACACUUUAAACCAUAGCGUAUUAAAAUAAGAAAGUGCGAAACUACAGGAGUGGUAUUUUAUCCUAAAUUCUAUUGAAUUGAAUUUCAUUCGGUGCAAAACCGAGUGUCGUGUUUAUCCUACAAAAUCACGAAGAUGUUAUGUUAACGGGCUGGGCCGUUCAUGCAUCAUCUUUACUGUGGGCUUGCUGUAGUAUCAGUCACAAGUCCAAAACUUUGGAAUCUGGCCAACAGGCCCGUUGGUCUGCAAAGCGUGGUUAGCGAUGUCAAUGGAUACAUAUACCUAAAAUUUUACAAAAAUUCGGACCCGAAUAGGGCGAGCUUAUCUGAUGCUAAAGGGGUAUGGUUUCAAUUAUGUGUAUAAAAAACAAAACCCGACAGAUUCGGAUUCGGAUAUGAUUUUUACUAUAGCGGAGCAGAACCCGAGCCCUAACAAAACUUGAAUCGAUUUUAUGUUAUAUAAUAUAUAAAUAUUUGAAUUUAUACUUUAAAAUUUUAAAUAUGAGUAAGAUAUGUUUAAAAAUUUGGGAAAAAGAAAUCAUUGAUGUCAGGUUCUGUUUAGAUCUCGGCUUUAUUGUCGGGUUUGGUUUGGUUAUGGAUUUUCAAUACCGACGAAUUCAGUUCAGGUUGUGGCUUAGCUAAUCGGGUUCAGAAUUUGAAAAUCAGCUACAAAUCCCACCUGUAGACAUCCGUAGGCCCGGCAGUGGCCAUUUAUAUUUUCCUCAAUAUUGAUUUAAAGAUUUCAAAUAAUUUACUCAAAAAGUCAUUUCUAACUUAUUUUUUUAAUAAAUAACUUUAUAUAUUUCAUGAAAUUAAUGCUAAAAAUAUAAAUUUAAUUUUUUUUUUAAAUAGAAAAAUAACUCAGCCUGUGGCCCAACAUGGCGGCCUGUACAGAUUUGGACCGGGUUGGGCCAUGGUCCGAAAAAAAUCGUCUGGCCCAGCCCAGAAUGGAUACGAGAGUACUGACGAAAACAAAUCGAAUAUUAUCUGAAAAUAUCCGCAUUCGUAUAGAAAAAAUUGGGAUAUGGUUGGAUAUGAAUAUAGAUAUAAUAUUAAAAAAGUCAAAAUUAUUCAAAUAUCUAACAAAAUGAAUAUGGAUAUGAAUAUCAAUACCCAAUUUUUUUUAAUAAUAUUAUAUUUUAUAUUAAUAAAUUAUGUAAAUUAUCAUCCACUAUCCUAUUCUCCUAAUCCCUAACUCCCAUAUCUCAUUCCUCUAUUUCAAUAUUGUUCUUUCAAAUUUUUGGAUAUGUGAAAAAAAAAAAAAAUUCUCAAUUGUUUGAUUGCUGAUUUGUUAGGCCAUAAUAAAGGUUUAAUUGCUUGUUUUUUUGUGAGAGACAAAUGUCGCUUAAUUGUUAGUUGUGGGGAGAUAAACAGUUUGAUUUCUUUUUUUUAGUAGAGAGAUAAUAUAUGCCGUAAAAAAAUCAGAUGAAUUUUUGUGCUCUUUAUUUAUUUUAUUAUGAGUUUCGCAUAAAAACUAUAUUUAUAUAUGUUUGUUAAAUGUUAUAUUUUAUUGGCCUUUUUGCAUAAAAAAUCCACUUAUUUUGGGUUUUUGCAAAAUCGGACCACGUUUUUCGUUUUUGCAGAUUCGGUCCACUUUUUCAGUAAAGUGACCAAAAUACCCUUAUUAUCUUUUCUCUUUCCUCUUUUUGUUUCUUUCGUUCGUUUUUUUUUCUUUCGCCUCCUCCCCGACGCCCUGCCCUUCGCCUCGCCUCCUCUCUCCGCCUCCCCCCCUGCCCCCUCUCCCUUCUCCUCCUCGACUCCCUCUGCGACCGCCGCCUCGUCGCCGACGCCGAAUCCCUCUUCCUCUGCCCCCCUUCCCCCCUCCUCCCCUCCCCCUUCCCCCCCGACACCAAGGUCUACAACCUCCUCCUCCGCGGCUGGCUCAAGGUCCGCCGAUGGCGCCGCUGCCGCGAGCUCUGGCUCGACAUGGACCGCAACCGCGUCCCCAAAGACCUCCACUCCUACUCCGUCUACAUGGACGCCCUCUCCAAGUCCGGCAAGCCCUGGAACGCCGUCCGACUCUUCAAGGAGAUGUCCCGAAAGUUCGCUGCCGACGCCGGUCGCAUACAACACCGCAUCCCCGGGCCCAUUGGACUUUUAUCAACGCCCGCGUCUCGCCGCGAUCCGCGCGCGCGGCGGAGGCGCUGGUGCGCAUGGCGGCGCAAGCCGCUGCGGCGGGUCCCCCCGGGUCGCAGCGGCGUGGCCGGUACACGCGGUGGCGUGGGCGGCACGCGGUCCGGCUGCGGCUGCUUCUUCUUCUUCUUCAUGGUGUAAUGGUGCACACAUUACACCAUUAAUGGUAACCCAUUACACCAUUAAUAGUGUAAUUUCACCAUUACACCGCAUAAUAGUGUAAUGGUGCCCAUUAAUGGUGUAAUUACACCAUUACACUAUUUAAGUGUAAUGCGUGCUCCAUUACACCGUUAAUGGUGUAGAUUGUGUGCACCAUUAGCUGAUGUCAAUUAACAACCAAUUACACUAUUAAUGGUGUAAUGGUGCUCCAUUACACCAUUAAUGGUGUAAUGGUGCACCAUUACACCAUUACGAAGAAGAAGAAGCCGCGUGCACCGCGUACCCCCCCGCCGCCGCCGCGUGCCCGCCCGCCGCCGCAGCGUGCACCGGCCCUGCCACCGACCCAGCCCCGCGCCGCGCUCGUGGUGUUCGACGAAUCGCCCUCUUCAGGGGCUUCCUGAUCCCGGUCUUCCUCGGCUUCUCCAGCAGCGACAAGGGAAUUCUCCCUCCGCGUGCGCACGGAGCGCGGCCCCCUCGGCAUGAGGCUUCGGACGAGGUUGAGAGCCGCAUCCGGGGAGUGGGGAGCGGGGCGAGGGAGCCCGGCGCGGUCGCACCAGCUGAGGAUCGCGUUCCUGAUAGCGACGUUGGGGAUGAGGAGGGGAGAGGCGGAGGCGCAGGAGGAGAGGUUGAGGGCGUGGGAGAGGCACGGAGGGGUGAAGGCGAGGUCGAGGCACGCGUGGACGCAGCUCCGCUCGCGAUCGGCGUCGCAGGCACAGCGUCACCACCGACGAGUCGUGCACUCCGACCUUGGCGCCUGACCUACGCCGCCUCUGCUCCUUCGACGGCCGGAGGCCCCCACUGUUGGCCGCCUUUCGUGCGGAUCGGGAGAGGGAGGCGGACGCGGCGUCCCUGGGGAAAAGAAAGAAAAAAAGAACGAGAAAAAAAAAAAAGAGGAGAGAGAAAAAUGUAUAAGGGUAUUUUGGUCAGUUUGCUGAAAAAGUGGACCGAAUCUGUAAAAACGAAAAAGGUGGCCCGAUUUUGCAAAAGCCCAAAAUAAGUGGAUUUUUUAUGCAAAAAGGCCUAUUUUAUUUAAACAAAAUUAAAAACACAAAAAAUUGAACAUGCAUGUGAAACUUUAGUUGCUUUUUUGUUAAUUUUAGUCCAUUUUUAUAUGUACAUACUAGUUGAUAUUAUUAUUAUUAUUCAAAUAAUACUGAAUAUAUAUUCGAUAUGUAGUCAAAUUUGGAAAAAUAUCCAAUUUGUAUAACAUAUCCAUAUCUGAAUUUAUAUCCGAAAAGAAAUUAUGGAUGCGGAUAUGGUUUCCACAAAUGCCCGUCCAUAUCCGAUCCGUUUUUAGCCCCACCCGAAUAAGGUGCCUCGCCUGGAUUCGGAUUCGGGCUGGGCGAAAAUGUGGGUUUUGUUUUAUUGGUUUUUAUACUGGGCUUGAUGGUUUUAUAUUGGACUUUGUUUCUCUCCCGCAAAAUCAAGUUGGGAAUUACGAGGCGGACCCGGAAUUGGAUCUCGGAGCCACAACAUACAAACCCGUUAAGGCUCCACCCAUGAGCUUUUGUUAAAGCGCCACCCAUGAGUUUUCGUUUAUCAUUGCCAAUAACACUUCAAAUCAGUAAAAGUUUAUUUAUAAUCAACGCAAAUCAUAUAGAUUUAUUUACAUUUCCAAACACAAAAUAACUUGCCACGCAAAGUAAAUGGCCAUCCAAUAAAGUAAUGUGUUUUUUUUAUUUUCCAAUAUUCAUAUGUUAAUGAGUAGAUAAUUUGUUUCUUUUUUUAUUUUCUUUUUAUUUUCUUGGGAGAUAUAUAUGUGUGUGUAAAAGCAUUUCUCAAGACUUUGUUUGGUUCGGAUAUAAAUAAGAACUGUCUAUUUUAGAAAUAGAUAUAAGUUCAGAUAUAAGUCUGGAAUAGACCAAUUUUACAUUUGAAUGAAAAUUGAGUUGCUUUCGAGAAUGAGAAAAGUAACGUUUGGAUCGAUAAAAUUGAAUAAGAAGAAUAGUAGAUAGUUAUAAAUAGAGAAUAAUGAUAUUGUACCUUAUAUUAUAUUUAAAUUUAAAUUUUUAAAUUUUAUAUUUAAAUUUUUAAAUUUAAAUAUCUAAUUUUAAAAUUUUAAAAUUUAAAUUUAAAUUUUUAAAUCUCAAAUUCAAAAUUUUAAAAUUCUAAAUUCUAAAUUUUAUAUUUAAGAUUAAAUCUAAAUUUAAAAAUUUAAAAUAUCAAUUUAAAAUUUAAAAUCUUGAAUUUAAAAUUAUAAAAUUUUAAUUUUAAAAUUACAAAUUAUAAAUUUUUAAUUUAAAAUAUAAAUAUAAAUAUUUAUAUUUAAAUUUUUAAAAAAUUACAUAGGAGUGAGAACAGCUAUUCCCACCCCUAUUCCCACACAAGGGGUGGGAUAGUUAUCCCACCCCCACUCUUUUCUUUUUUCUUUUUUUUUUUUUUUUNUUUUUUUUUUCUUCUUCUGUGUGUGUGUUUGGGGAUGGAGGGGAUAAGGGAUUAUCCCCCGCUUAUCCCCCAACCAAAUAAGGUGUAAAGUUUUUUUAGGUUUCUCAUAAUAUUAUCGGUUUUGAACCUGCCGCACAGCCAUCCAAGAUUUAUAGUAAUUUGAUUACACUCUUCAUCUAUUAAAAAAGACAUAUUUCUUAAGUAAUGCGAAAGAAUAUAUCAAAUAAAAUAUUAAUUUAUCUAAAUAAGAUCUGAAUGUUAAUGCAUCUAAAUUAGAUCUAAGUGUACAAAAUUAAACAUCAUAUUUCAAUCUAUCUAUACCGAAAACUUAGCAACUGCAAUCAAACAGUCACCUUAUUCCGUUCUCUUCUUCAAUCAUUCCUCCUUGACAAAUCAAAUUAAAUGCCCCUCUCCAUUUCUCUCCCUCUCCUCUUCUUCCCACAACAUGUUUGGAGGGGGACCAAAAAUACAUAAUAUUUUUAUCUUAAAAAAUUUAUAAAGUAAAUUAUAAUAAAAGUUUGUUAUAUAAGUCAUAAGCUAGCGUUUUAGGAAAAAAAAAUAUUUUGGCCCUAGAAUUCAUAAUAUUUUAUUGUUACUAUACCAUAAAUAGAAAUUUUUAUGUAAUUUUUAAAAAGUUGAGAGUGCCAUGGCCACUAUGAAUUACACAAACCCAUCUCCAAAAUUAUAUUUUAUUGGAACAAAAAGGAGGAGAUUCUUUGGCUUAUCCUAUAAACCUUCUCCUAAUCAACCUAAAGAAGGCCAAAUUGAGAAUAAAUUGAUUAUUCUCCCCCUGAUUAACCUCAUUUGCAAAAUUUGAUAUCCAAAAUCAAAUAUAAUUCACAAUCCAAGCUAAUAUUUAAUAUUUGAAUUUCAAAAGUCACGAUUCAAAUUAAAAUCGUAUAAUUGAAUUUCAACUCUCAACUCGAGUAAAAGUUAGAAUUUAUGUCUAAAAAUCGAUCUCAUGUUUCAAACUAAAUUUGAAGUUAAGCAUAAAUUCAAAACUAAAUCCAUAUUUUGAAAUAAAAUUUGUAUCCAAUUUAAUUUGCAAAUUGAACUUUAUAGGUCAAAUCUUAAUUUCUAAAUGCAAAUGAUGGAAUAGUUAGAUAUAUAUUGUUUUAACUUUGAUUUGUAAUUAAGGAGGUGUUUGUUAACGCAUGCAAAGUAUUAUACAUGCAAACUAUUGUAAUUAAGGAGGUGUUUAUUUCGCGGAAGGUGGAGAGGUGUGAAGUAAUUUUCAGCCUUAAAUACACACUUUUGUAUUCGGAUUUACUGUAACUUCGCCUUCGAUAUAAACUCAAACUUUUCAAAAAUAGUCUAAUUGGCUUCGGCCCGCCCUCAGAAAGUAAGAAAAAGGAGGAGAAAGAAACACAUAAUAAAAUGUUAAUAUGUCUCUCACGCCUUCAGCUUUUACGUCAUUAAUUUAUUAUCUAACAAAUAGCAAAACUAAUCCAAAUUAAUUUGUAUAUAGACUCUAGCUAGUUUAUUUUUCAAGUAUAUCCGAACUUAAAACUUUAUUUUCGAUGAAACAAACAAACAUAAAGGUGACAUAUAUUUGCUCCUCCUUGAGAGAGAGAGAAAGAGAGAUGGAAGACUAUAAUAACGUACCGGGCAUGCAAUUAUUUAAAAACUUAAUUAAGGACAGAAAAUUAGUAACUCGGUAGAGCUUGAUCCGGUUCUUAUAUCUAACGGCCACGUCCUGGGCAAGUCCCACAGACGUUGUUGGGAUCGUUGGAGCAGCAGGAAUGGCCAGGCUUCGGACUAUCGCGGCUGGCCAUCGUCGCGGACGCCUGGGUCGUUGCAGCAGUCAGAGACAUCGUUGAUCCGCCUCCUUCCUCGGUGAAGCGCUCCGGCGGUGUUGAAGGCCGCGGCAUGGCUGAGCUUGUUAUCAUCAUCGUCAUAGUCAUAAAGAAGAGGAGGAUAACGGCCUCCAGUAGUUUCGAGCUGCGGGCCAUCGCCGAGAGAAUGCGAACUGCGAGGAGGAGGAGAAGGAGGAGGAGGAGGAGGAGGAGGAGUGCCGAGGUAGGGAGGUAUUAAUAACUCAAUUGUUGGUGGGUGAUGUUAGUUUUCAAUAUUUAAAGGGAAAACUUCAAAAACCCCCACGUGGUUUCAAUUUUUUUCACUUUAGUACCUUUUGGUUUAAAAUGUAACAAGUUAGUACCUUGUGGUUUCUCACUUUAUCACUUUAAUAUCCUGUGGUUUAAAAUGUAUCAAAUUAGUACCCUGUGGUUUUGCACUUUAUCACUUUGGUACCCUAUAGUUUUAAUUUUGUAUCAAAUUAGUACCCUGUGGUUUUUUAAACCAUAGGGUACUAAAGUGAUAAAGUGUGAAACCAUAGGGUACUAAAGCGAUAAAGUACAAAACCACAUGGUACUAACUUGAUACACUUUAAACCACAGGGUACUAAAGUGAUAAAGUGAGAAACCACAGGGUACUAACUUGAUACACUUUAAACCACAGGGUACUAAAGUGAUAAAGUGAGAAACCACAGGGUACUAACUUGAUACAUUUUAAACCACAGGGUAUUAAAAUAAAAAAAGUGUGAAACCACAGGGGGGGUUUUUGAAAUUUUUCCAUAUUUAAAUGAAGAUAUGUGUGGGUAGAAUGAUUCUGAAUGAGUGAUUUGUUGAAUAGUAUAAUUUAGCGGAUGAAAAUAAUUAAAAGAGUAAGACCUAACCGCGAAAUNAAAUUGAGCUCCUAUGCUUUUAAAAGUAUCAAGUUAUUGGUGCUUGUAAAUUUUUAGCCAUUGAAUUAAGAAAUAUACGGUUAGGAUGAUAUGGGCCGACUAGGGUUGAGUGGGUGGUUGGUUGAAUAGUAUAAUCUAAUGGUUGAAAAUGAUCCGAGGAAUAGAUCUAUCGGUAAAAAACUUACAAGCACUAAGUGCUUGGUGCUUUUACAAGUACCAUAGCUGGACUAUAUAUAUAUAUAUAUAUAUAGAGCAAGACUGCUGUGCUCUCUGAGCCGUUUUCGAUGAUAGAGUUUCCGAAUCGACAAUCGGCUCCGUUAAAUUUGAUCUAGCGUAUUUGAAGUUUCUAAAAAAUAAUUUUUGCGAUUUUUCGAUAUCAUUUACCUAGUAAUCGAAAGGAUUCAAAAUCAAUAAUUUUUAACGGCUAAAAAUAAAAAUCCUAUAAAAAGUGAUAAUAUAGCACUAAAAUUUUUGAUUAGAAAUAUUAAUCUUGUUGUAGAUAGUAUAAAGAAUUUUGUAUCAAAAUUUCAUCUGAUUUGAAUACUUCUACAUCGUUAAACUUGAAAACGGCAGAUAUCAACCAUUAAAAAUUAUAAAUUUUGAAUCCUUUCGAUCACUAGGUAAAUGAUAUCAAAAAAUCGCAAAAAUUAUUUUCUAGAAACUUCAAAUGCGCUAGAUCGAGUCUAACGGAGCCGAUAGUCGAUUCCAAAAUUCAAUCAUCAAAAACAGCUCAGGAGCAUGGAGGCCUCGGUGCUCCUAAGAGCACAGCAGCCCUGCUCUAUAUAUAUAUAUAUAUAUAUAUAUAUAUAUAUGAAUGAAUGAGGCUAGUAUGCUUUUGGAAGCACAGAGCCUUCCGUGCUUUUAGGUUGUUUUUGAUGUUGCGACUUUCGAAUCGUCGAUCGGCUCUGCUAAACUCGAUCUAGAAUAUUUGAAAUACCUAGAAAAUAAUAUUUAUGAUUUUUGAUAUUAUUUGCCUAGUAAUCAAAGCCGCUCAAAAUCAAUAAUUUUAAUUACCGUAGUGAGCCGUUUGCAAGUUUAACAGUGCAGAAAUAUUCAAAUCACGUGAAAUUUUGAUAGAAAAUUCUUUAUACUAUAUAAAACAAGAUCAAUAUCUUUGAUCUAAAAUUUUAAUGUCAUAUUAUCACGUUUUGUAAGAUUUUUAUUUUCAGCCGUUGAUUUUGAGCCAUUUCGUUCACUAGGAAAAUAAUAUCGAAAAAUCGCAUAAUUUAUUUUCUAGGUACUUCAAAUACUUUAUAUCAAGUCUAAUGGAGCCGAUCGACGAUUCGAAAGUCGCAACAUGGAAAAUGACCUGGAAGCACAGAAGGCUCCGUGCUUUCAAAAGCAUAGUAGCCUCUCUCUCUCUCUCUCUCUCUCUCUCUCUCUCUCUCUCUNAUUGCAGACUUAGAAUCUUACUUUUACUCUUCAAAUGUAGUCGAACUGUAAAGUUCUUCUCUCUUUUGAGGGUGUAAUUUAAGUACAAUCCCAUGGUCGAGGAUUUUUGAACACGAAAGUGAUUUUGCUGCACAUCGGCGGAGGGAUUGCCAGAAAAGAUGGGAGGGAGACUCAGAGAGAGACAGAUGAGUGGAUGGUCCACAGCUGACAUGGUGGACUAAGUCCAAACAAGAUUGCUCAUGCCUGUGAGGCAGAAAAAGUAGCUGGUGGUGUGUUGUUUGUAGUUACUUUUUUUUUCCUUUUUUUUCUCUCUCUUUUUUCUUCUUUUUUUUUUUUUGUUUGGUGAAAUCCACAGGGUGAUGAUUACAAAGGAUGCAGCAAAAAGAAUAAAAAUGGAGAGCCACAGCUUUUUAGAUCUCUUUGUAUAGCCUGACUCAGUCACAUGAACCAACCAACUUUGGUGCCACACACACCUAAACAAACACAUUAAUAAGAUUAUCCUUAACGUAAAAAGUAUAAAAUUUAUCUAAAUUAUACACCAUUUUGAAUUAGUUGUUUAAUUUUUUAAAAUUUUAAUUUUACUGACUAAUCUUUUAAUUUUAUUGAAUUUGAGUCGGUCAACAGCACUUUAAUUUUAAAAUUUAAGUUAAUUACUUUACGAGAAUUACGUGAAGUAUCAACUUUUGAAGUCAAAGUAUUAUUGGCUGACUCAAAUCGAACAAAUUGCAAAAUUGAAUAGCAAAAUCAAAUUUUUUAUAAGUUGGAUAUAGUGAAUUCAAAAUGGUGUACGGUUUAGAUAACGUUUGGAUGUUUUUACCAAUCCUUAAUAAGACCAUAUGAUCUUUCACACAGUGUCUCUUUGUGUAUUCUUUUGACCUUUUAACUAGUGCAGUAAAAAAAGAUUUGAGGGCCCUAUUUUAUAUUGUCUUGUCCUUUUUUACUACUUAGAUCCUUGUUGUUUUUAUUUAAAAAAGUACUUGCUAUGGUACUAUUGGUUAAUUUAGGGUUGGAUGUGGUCCUUCUUUUUUUUUUUUUCUUUUUUUAAAUUAACAAUAAAACAACUAAACAGGGUUAAAAUUUAUUCACAUGUUAAUAGUGGAGCUGGGGAUUAUUAAGACUUUAUUAACAUUAUAUAUAGAGAGAGUUGAACUGAAAUAUUAUCAAUAGCAUUUGGACUCUUUUGCUAUCGAUUUUUUAGCCGUUAGAUCUACACUUUAAUCAAUUCCACCCUUUAAAUCAUAUUAUUCAACCAACCAGUCACUUAACCUUAGGGGGACCACUAUCAUCAUAAUCCUACAAUUUUUCAUAUAAUAGUUAAAAACUCGAUAGCAAAAGAGCCCAAAUACUAUUAAUAGUAUUCCAGCCCAAUUCUCUCUCUCUCUCUCUCUCUCUCUCUCUCUCUCUCUCUCUCUCUCUCUCUCUCUCUCUCUCUCUAUAUAUAUAUAUAUAUAUACUAGUUAAGUGCACGUGCAAUGCACGUCGCACAAAUAUUAAAAAAUAUAAUUUUUGUAAAUAAAUAUUAUAGAUUUGAUAUAUAGUAUUUAAUUAAAAAAUUUUAGAUGGUAUUAAAAUACGUCUUUAAUUAUAACGAAGGUGACGAACGCGACAAUGUUUCGGCACAGACAAUGAUGAUGAGUAGGACGAUGAUGAUGUACUUCGGUAACAAAUGAAAAUAUUUGAGAAAAAUAUAGAUAAAAAUAAAAAAAGGAUACUACUGAAAAAAUAUAUAUUCUUUACAUGUAAGAAACGUAUAGGUGAAAAUAAAAAAGUACUAAAAAAGAUAUGCUAACAGAAAAGGUAUGAUGUAUAUAUUGUGUGAAAAAUAUUAUAAUGAGAUAAGAUUAGUUAGCGUAGAUAUUAUAUGCAAGGGUAUUAAGAUAUAUUCUAUAUUUGAGAAUGCGGAGAAUAUUUUAGUGUGUAUUAUUUAAACAUUGAAUAUUUUGCUAAAAAAAUUUAAAAUUAUAUUUAAUUAACGAUUUAGUUUUGGUUGGACAAAUACAAUUUUUUAGAAAUAUUCUAUACUUUUAUGACGCAUUAUUUAAAUAUUGAAUAUUUUGCUAAAAAUAUUUAAAAUUAUAUUUAAUUAACGAUUUAGUUUUGAUUUGGAGGUAUUAAAUUUUUUUAGCAAUAUUUAACACUUCUAUGGCGCGCCAAAUUUUAAUACUCGUCAAAAUUAAAUCUACUAUUUUAUGUAAGGAAAAAUCUACUAUCUACUAUCAUGAAUUAAAAUUCAAAUUAUCAAAUUUACGGGUAUUAAAUUUUGGCAGGCAUUACAAAUUUAAAAUUUAAUUUUCGUAGAUAUUACGUUUGAGAAAAAAAAUAUUUGAGAAAACACUGAAAUAAAUUUAGCAGAGGUAUUACGUGAUUGACGGGUAUUACGUUAGAUAAGAAAUAAAUUUAGUUAUAGAAAAAAAUAUUUGAGUAACGUAGAUAAUAGAUAACGGAUAUGAAUAAUAUUUUUGUCAACAAAAAUGACAGAUACUUUUAUUUUUAUUCAUUGAAUAAGAUCCAAUGGCGAAAACUUAAGAUCUAUAUUUGAGAAUAAAUUAUUAUUUGAAGAUUUAUUUAAAAUGGAUAAAAUAUAUUUUAUAUUUGAGAACGCAGAGAAUAUUUUGGUGGGUAUUAUUUAAAUAUUGAAUAUUUUGCUAAAAAUAUUUAAAAUUAUAUUUAAUUAACGAUUUAGUUUUUUUUGGGCGGGUAUUAAUUAUUUUUAGUGAUUAGCAGAGGUAUUACGUGAUUGGCGGGUAUUACGUUAGGUUAGAUAAGAGAUAAGUUUAGUUUUACGUAUUACAUUGGUAGGUAGAAAAAAAAAAUUUUGAGAAACGCGGCGUAGAUGGGAGAUAACGACAGAUAUGUAGGGUAUUUUUGUCAACAAAAAUGACAGAUACUUUUAUUUUUAUUCAUUGGAUGAGAUCCAAUGGCGAAAACUUAAGAUCUAUAUUUGAGGAUAAAUUAUUAUUUAAAGAUUUAUUUAAAAUGGAUGGUUGAAAAUUAUUGGGCAUGACAAUAUUAGUAAAAAAGAUAGAGACAUUUUUGAAAAGAGGAAAAAUUCAAAACUCAUGCUUUUAUAAGUAGUAUAGAUAUAGAGCUGAGCUAGAAUACUAUCGGUAGUAAACGAGCCGUUUUACUACUGAUUUGUUUUCGAUGAUAGAACUUCCAAAUUAACGAUCGGCUCCGUUGAACAUGAUCUAUACCACUUGAAGUGUUUAGAAAUCAAAUUUCAAAUCUUUCGACAUCAUUUGCCUAAUGAUCAAAGGGUUUCAAAAUUUGUAAUUUUAAUGGUCGAUAAGAGGUGUUUUCUCGUUUAACGGCGUAAAGAUAUCCAAAUCAAUUGAAGUUUUGUUAGAAAAUUCUUUAAACUAUUUAAAACAAGAUCUAUACUCUUGAUCUUGAUUACAAGACUCCUAUCAUCAUUUUUUAAAGAGUAUUCAUUUUCAGCCAUUCAUUUUUCUGUUCACUUGAUGGAUAAAAAGAAAAUAUCGAAAGUACGUAAAUUUGAUUUCUAGGUAGUUUAAAUGGUUUAGAUCAUAUUAUAACGGAGCCGAUCGUCAAUUUGGAAGCUCUAUCAUCGAAAACAAAUCGGUAGUAAAACGGCUCGUUACUACCGAUAUAUUCUAGCUCAACUAUAUAUAUAUAUAUAUAUAUAUAUAUAUAUAUAUAUAUAAAGAAAGAGAGAGUUGGACUUGUGGGCCAUCGGCGUACGGAGGCCUUCGUACUUCUAAAGCCGUUAGACUUGAUCUAGCGUAUUUCAAGUAUCUAGAAAAUAAAUAUUGCGGUCUUUUAAUGUUAUUUACCUAAUGAUCGAAAGGGUUCAAAAUCAAUAAUUUUUAAUGGUUGAUGUGUGCUGUUUGCAAGUUUAACGACGUAAGAAUAUUCAAAUCAAUGAAACUUUGAUAGAAAAUUUCUUAUACUAUCUACAGUAAGAUUAAUAUCUCUGAUCUAAAAUUUUAGUAUUACAUGCAUUAAAAUUUUUUGUAAAAUUUUUAUUUUCAACCAUCUAUUGUCUUUUCAAUCACUAGGUAAAUAAUAAUGAAAAAUUACAAAAUUUAUUUUCUAGAUAUUUUAAAUAGUUAGAUUAAGUCUAACAGAGCCGAUCCGUUCAUCAAUACGAAAAUUUUAUCAUCGAAAACGAUUUAGAAGCACGAAUAUCUCUAUGCAUCUAAUAGUAUACAUUAUACAAGUCCUACUAGAGAGAGAGAGAGAGAGAGCACUUUAGGACACACGCACAAAACCUUCUAAUCCUUCUCUGCGGUUUUGUGUCUCCGCGUUUGUACUCUUUUGGAAAGUUCCCAAAGAAUACAAGCAUAACAUUUUAUAAUUUUAUUCCUAUUGCAGGUGGAAAAGGGACCUCCAAAUGGUCUAAUGAAUCUCAGUUUUCUCUCGAAAAGAGAACUCUUUAUUCUGCUUUAACGAUUCCCACCACUAGAUUGAAAAGCAACUUUUUCCUCUCCACUUAUAUAAUUAGAUGAAUAAAGUUUUGUCUUGCUUUGACGAUUCCGUCCCUGCAGAAGGAACCGGGCAAUUACUAGAUCUUAGUUUAAUGAUUCACAAGACACGCAGUCAGCAAACAACUUGACGGGGACAGGAAUUUCUUCCUUUCCACAGAAUUAGACGUGAAGCCGGUUCGGUUUUCCGGACUGGUUACAGUUCUUUUGUCCCGAAAAUGUAAACUGGUCGUCGUAUCGGUCCUACCGAAUGCUGGCUUUUCAUUUCGAUUUUAAACCGGUAUCACAAACCAGCGGGUCGGUGGCGGAUAACAGUGUGUCCAAGACUGUGAGUGAAGGGAAAGAGAUUUCGAAAUUCCAAACUCAAGUUUCUCUCUACCAAAGGUAAACCGUAUAUAUAUGUUGAACCCAAUAGAACCGAACCGAACCAUAACAUUUAGUUUUUACUGUUAUAUGAACCUGAACUAAAACUGUUCUGAAAAACAAACCUUUUUUCAUGGUUCGGUCUGUCCAAUUUGAUUUCUGCCAAGAAGAUUAUUGCAUAAUAAGUUCCUCUUUUUUUUUUGUUCUUCAUCUUUCUCGGUCCGACAUAACACAACACGGCAUUCUCAUAUUCUCUCCACUAUUAAAAUUGUCACUCAAAAAUAAGAAACAUUAUUUUCCUCCGUCGGCACUAUUUUUUUUUGCCUUUUUUUUUAAGUCUUUUUAAACUCCUCUCUAUCCUUAUUGACGUUCGAGUUCGGAUUCUUUUGGUCGCAAAAAGUUCAGAUUAAUUCUUUCACUCUCAAAAAAGUUUAUUCUCUCUCAAUAGGUCAAAAGUCACAAAGUGCUCUUGUUAUUAAGUAAAUAGAACAAGAUAAGGUAAUUUAUUACUCUUCGCCACUUGCCGUGAUAUCAUUUGGUCACUAUAUUUUGCUAAGAGCAAUACUAGUCAUACACUCUUAAAAGGAAUGUUCCAUGUGCAGCUUCUCCUAUUUAAUGCAUGAAAGUAUUUUAUUUGUCACAUCUUAUCAGAUCAUGUGACAAAUUUCAUUUAGAAUGUAUACAUCCCGAACAGUAUGUAUAAGUAGUAUUUAUUUUUUGCUAAUUGAAUGUGUACAACGAGUUGGUUUCUGUUAGAACUAUAUAUGCUAAUUAUUUUACGAACACCUCAAAUAUUUGUAUUUUGACCUUAAGAUCUAAACGUAUAUCUGACAUGCAAUUUGUUGCCGCUAAGUCAUACAUAGUCUAGCCGUGGUUUAGAAGCACGAAGGCUUUGGUGAUCUUAAAUUAUUUUUGAUAAUGAAGCUUCUGAAUCAUUGAUCACUACAACAAAAAUGAUUUAUAGCGAUACUUUUAAAUAUUGGCAUAUGUAAAAAAAAAUGCUGCUGGCUAAAUUACCGAUACUUUUUAAAAGUUUUGCUAUAUGUACGGUCAUUAUAUGUAGGACCGCCUUGAUAUUUGACACCCACUUUUUCAGCAAUCUGUGGCGGAGGAAAACGUGGUGAUCGUAGCCCUUUACAGUCCUUGCGAGAUUCUUGCAGCCGAACUCCAACUGUCGGAACCCUAUCGCGGCGGAGGAGGAGAAUGAAAGAUGGUGAUCCAUUUUUCUUUGUUUUUUUUUCUCUAUUUGUAAUCGGGCUGAGUGGGCUGGAUGAGGUUGGUUGAGUAGAAGAACUUUUUGUUUUUGAUUGAAUUGGGUUUUAUAUUUAGGCCCUAAUAGAUUUUUUGAAAAAAAAUUGGCAAAAAUGGAAUAGUUACACAAAAGUAUUCCAAAAAUGUGUUCCUAUAAUUUAAUUCUGUUGUAGUGGAUUAACUACGUUAAAUUUAAUCUAUAUUAUAUGAUGUAUGUAGAAAAUAAAUUUAACAAUUUUUCGAUCAUUUACCUAAUUAUCCUAAACGAUUCAAAAUCAAUGGCCGAAAAUAAAAUCUUACAAAAAGUUAUGAUACUAAGCUAAAAUUUUAGAUUAGAUAUGUUAAUCUUUUUUAGAUAAUAUAAAAAAGUUUCAAUCAAAAUUUUAUGUGAAUUUGAUAUUUCUAUAUGGUUAAACUUGAAAACGGCUCAAAUCAACUAUUAAAAUUAUUAAUUUAUUGGUUAUAAGGUUAUUCAUGAGAGGGGAAAAAUCAUAUGAAAAUUAAAAUUUAAAAAUAAAAUUUAUAAUUUAAAUUUAAAUUUACUAUACAAAUUUCUAAUCAAAAUAUGAAUUCAAAUUUGAACUAACAAAUUGAACUUAAAAUUUAAAAUUGCAAAAGAAAUUCAAGUCCAAAGUCAAAGUUUAAAUUUAUAACUAAAUUCAAAUAUCAGACUUAUAUUAGAAUUUUAAUUUGGAAUAAAGAAUUUCAAUAUUAAAAUACGAAUACAUAAUUUAAAUUCAAAUUUAAAAUUAUAAUUUAUUCUUAAAUUAAUUAUAAAUUAAUUAAUAUUUAAAUUUCAACAAUUGUUAGUAAUCAAAAAAAAAAAAAGGAAGAAAGGAGUUCUUUUCUUAAACUCUUAUAGAAUUAAAGCCCAAUAAGGUGGGAAUCAUUUUGGGAGGAUUCAGUUCGCGAAUCACAAUGCCGUGUAGGGAUGUGAAGGGGUAUGGAUAUCCGAAAUAUUAUCCGAAUCCGAACCCGAACGGGACGGAUUUAUCCAAACUAAACAGAUAUAGAUUCGGUUAUGGGUAUAAAAAAUAAAAAUCUAACGAAUAUGGAUACGAUUAUAGAUUUUGUAUUUACCUAACCCGAACCCGAACCUGAACCCGAAUAAAUUAUAUAUAUAUAUAAUUUAUUUUUAUUUAUUUAUAUAAUAAAUAAAAUAUUUAAUAAUUUUUAUCUUUUAGAUCAUCCUCUAAUAGAAUGGAUUUUUAAAAUCCACCGGGUUCGGGUUUCGAAUUUUUGAUCGGAUAUGAAUAUGAGUAUGAAUUUUUAAAACCCGCCGGGUUCGGGGACAGGUUCGGAUUUUAAUUUGAUUUUCGAAUUCGGGUUCGAAUUUUUAAAAAUUGACCCAAAUCCGACCUAUUGACAUCCCUAAUUCUGCGCACAAUGGUUCAUUCCGACUUUCAUUUCAAACCUUAAAUCAGUCAAACCAAACAUUUUCUGUAUAUGAUAAAAACUGCAGUAUAGCGACAUCUGCAACAAACAGUCCCUUUAUUCCCUCACCCUUUUUUCAAUCUCUCCAUCUCCACUCCAAUUCAUUCAUUCGCUCUCUUGUGCUUUUUCGAGAUAAUCAAAUUAAUCCACUCGAGCCCUACAGUACCCAUUCACUCCUUUAUUCUCUUGUACUUUUUUCAGAUAAUUAAAUUAACUCACUUCGAGCACUAAACAUCACUCGUUCACUCAUCCAUUCAUUUAUUCUCUUGUGCUUCUUUCAGGUAAUUAAAUUAACUUGAGCACUAGAUCACUCAUUCACUCAUUCAUUCGUAUGUUAUCUUGUGCUUUUUUCAGGUAAUUAAACUAAUUCACUCGUGCGUUUGGAUGAAAAUUGAAUUGUUUCUAGGAAUAAGAUGAAUAAUGUUUGGAUGGUUAAAUUAGAACAAGAGAAAUAUGAGUUAUAGUUUUAAAUUAAAAUUAUUUUAUCUAAUUAAUUAAUAUCAAAAUAUUAAUUAAAAUAUAAAUUUAAUUAAUUAUUUUGAAAAUUUUCUUUGUUCUCGAAUCAAACACUGCCUAAAAGCGUAUAAACACAAAUAGCUAUUCCAAAACCAUGAAUUGUUAGAAAUACGUAGCUAAUUUAUUUAAAGCGUACAGAUACAAUGCUCACAGGUCUCGAUUAUGACUCAGCCCAACCAACUUUAUGUACUUCAAACAUGAUACGGUCCAAUCUAGCCUCAUGCCAUUUCGAAUAUGACUCGGCCCAAUCUUGCCUCGCGUCACACGAUAGGAUCCUGGUUGAUUUAAGCCAACAAUUUUCCCUUCAGCACCUGCAUAAAUUCGCAGAAUGCAAGACGUGCUAGCUUUUCGAAUAAUUGGUUACGCUUAUGAUCCACAGUAAAUAUUCAAAUUUUAUCACUUUAUAUAUGCGGUAGUAUAUAUAUAUAUAUAUAUAUAUAUAGUGAGGCUACUAUGCUAUCGGAAGCACGGAGCCUUCCGUGCUUCCAGCUCGUUUUUAAUGUUGCGACUUUCGAAUCGUCAAUCGGCUCCGUUAAACUUGAUCUAGACUAUUUGAAGUAUCUAGAAAAUAAAUUUCAUGAUUUAACGAUAUCAUUUGCCUAGAGAACGAAGGGGCUCAAAAUCAACAGCUGAAAAUAAAAAUCUUACAAAAUGUAAUAAUAUGACAUUAAAAUUUUAAAUCAAAGAUAUUGAUCUUGUUUUAUAUAGUAUAAAAAAUUUUCUAUCAAAAUUUCACGUGAUUUGGAUAUUUCUACACCGUUAAACUUGCAAACGGCUCACUACGGCCAUUGAAAUUUGUUGAUUUUGAGCCCAUUCGAUCACUAGGCAAAUGAUAUCGAAAAAUAAUAAAAUUUAUUUUCUAGGUACUCCAAAUACUCUAGAUCAAGUUUAACGGAGCCGAUUGACGAUUCGAAAAUCGCAACAUCGAAAAUGAGCUGGAAGCACGGAAGGCUCCGUGCUUCCGAUAGCAUAGUAGCCUCACUCUAUAUAUAUAUAUAUAUAUAUAUAUAUAUAUUUUUUAAACCUUAUUAGGGAGAUAAACUUAUCUUUUGUUUAAAAUUACUUUUUUUCUUAUACAGAUCCCAGGGCUAGUUUUUUCUAGUUUGUCACAUUUUUUUAAAGGUUAAUUUUGUAUAGAUUCUUUCAAAUAUAGUGAAUUGUAAAUAUAUUCUUACAAAGUUCUUUAUAAAAGUCCUAAUAUUUUCAAAUAUAUCACUAUGGUUUGCUACCGUUAAAGCACUGUUUAUUUUAUAAGAAAAAUGACCUUUUUGCCAUCACAAAUAUGUCUUUCCAAAAGUCCCAACUGUUAAUUGAAGAUGGGUAAAAAAGUCAAUUCACCUCAUUAACUAACUAGGGUUGUGUAUUUUUGUAGUAUCGCUGAUGUUUGGUUACCAGUGAGAUUUCAGCAUCUGAGGUUUGUUGAUACAUUUAGAGAGUAUCGGGACAAGUCGAAGUCAUUUUUGGCGAAAUGAACGCAAAACGGACUUAGUGCGACGCUAGAGCAGUGUAUUGACAUUGGAAUCUGCAAAGUGCAGGUUUUCAGUAUUGAGUACCGGUACCAUGCAAGGGAGUACCAGUACCCCGGUCUAUUUCCAGAACAGUCUGCUCUCGAGUUGUGCCUAUUUGAUGCUGAGUACCGGUAUAGUAUCGGGCUGGUACCGAUACCCAGUGCGUGAGUGUGCGAGCUGAGAGACCAAAUACCGGUAACUAAAUCGGGUACCGAUACUCCAGCUAGAAUUUUGAGUUUGUGAGGGGCCUUUUGGUCAUUUGACGCGUCGUUGCUUUCAACCUUAUCCCCACCGCUUUAUAUAGGUGUAGAGAGGCAGAGGAUGAGUUUCUGGUUGUAGCUUCCUCUCUCUCUCUAGUUUUUGAUCGUGUGCUCGGUGGAGGCCGUGGCUCGAGCUUGGGAGAUUUUCGACGUCGAUUUGGAGGGCCGUUCGAGCGUGCGUGCGUUGCGGUUGUGUUGUUGGAGGCCGGGCGAACGCGUGGUUUCCUCUUCUUUCAACUUCUUGCCGUAGUUGAAGAAACUUUUUGAGGUAGGUUGAAGUUUAUCGAAAUCGUCGGAUUUCCUCCUAAGCCUAGAUUUUUGUCAGCAUGUAAACUUCCUGUGUAGUAUCAUGUUAAUAGUUCAAUUCACCGAUUCGCCUUGCUUUAAUGAAAUCUGAGUUUGAACUUUGAAUUCUAGAUUCGUUUUACAUGUUGGACUUGAAAAUUGACUUAGGAGAAAACUAGUGAACCCUACACUGUCAUUUUCUGAAAAUUACCAGAUUUAGCUUUAGGAGCUGUGGUUCUUUUGUAUCGUCGCUGUUAGUAUGUGAUGAAUACUCAGAUUAGUGUAGAAUGAGUUUACGCUCGUAUUGGGAUGCCGAAAUUAUUUUACAGUAGUGUGUAGACUGUUUUGGACUGUCGAGUGACAUCGCAGAUGACGGUGAAUCCAGAUUGCUGUUUUUGCAUCAGUUGUGCCAAGAGCAUAUGAGUUUUGGUUGUAGGACCAGCUAGACCCAUUUGCUUUGAUUAUAGCCUGUGAGAGCCUGAUUGAGCUCGAUAGAGAGACACGCUUGCAUACUCGGUUGGGUAGCACCCAUGAGUGCCACUACGGAGUCGGGCUUUGUGCUUUUGCGUUGAUGUUGUAGUGACUAGAUUAAACUUGCUCUCCACCAACAACCCAGCGUGGUGGUGGUUGGUGUAAUUUCGACAGGUGAGACGAGUGCGUUCACAGUCCCUGGUGAGAUUGGGUAGAGAGUGCAUUUCUAUAUCUACAGAUAGUAGUUAGCGAUAGUAUAGUGGCAUAUAGUUGUAGAGUUUUACCAGCAUCCUUUACUAUCCUUAUACAUACUUUCUAUAGACUUAGUGGGUGAGCCGUUGAGGUCGGUAACGGUACCCACUGAGAACUGCUUCCUUUUGCAGUAGUUCUCACAUCUAGUUGUUGGCCUCUUUUUGCAAAGCCUUCUUCUGCGGCUGCUGCUUUCGCCGAUACUGAUCGUGGAAAGGGAGUCGCGAACUAGAUCCCUUCCCGGGUUGCAAUACUAGAGGAGUACCAUUUACAGGUAGUUUUGGGGUAUUUUGGUUCAUGUACAUACUUAUGCUGAUUUACUCGCUGGAGCGAGUGAUGUCUGUGUCUUGGAGACUUCGUAUGUAUAGUAAACCUGAUGUUUAUUAUAUAUGUUUUCAGUUCUGUUUAGCAUCUCUAUACUACUACUUGUAGUUUUGUAUGAUUACAGGUACAGCUAUCGCUUCGUAUACCGGAAAAGUCCUAUGUAUACAGUGGGUCUGUCGGCGUACCCGGGGAAACGGGUAAUCUGGGACGUGACAAUUUUACCUACGAUUAACUAAUUUUUUAUAACGGAUCUUAACGUAUGGACAUAUUUGAAAAUAUUAGGACUUUUAUAGAAACAUCUUUUAAUCAUGAUUAACUUUUUUUAACCAUGAUUAUCUAUAUUUUUAUAAUAAAAGGAUAUAUUUGGAGACGAGAGAAUUUUUGGAAGGACAAAUAUGAUCACUUAAUAAGAAUUUAUUUAUUAAUAGUUAAUAAUUAAUGAAGUUAUUAAAUUUGGUAGAUUUUUUAAUUAAAAUAUAUAAAUUGCAAUAAGAAAUUAGAGGUUAAAGUGGUGUCAAAAGAAAAAAAUUGAAGUUGAGGGGUCUGUCAAGAUUGCCUAUGGUUGAGGGGGUCUCCAUGCAUUUUACCUUUCAAAAUUAAAUUAUUUUAGUUAUUUUAGUUGAAACGUUUUGUUAAAUUUAAUAAAAUUCCUUUUUAUUACCUAAUUUCAAGAAACUAAACACUUUCGAGAAACUAAAAGUUAAGGGGUCUUAAGCAAAAACUGCAAAGCUGAGGGAAUUAUUUAAAAAUAGAAUACUGUUGAUGGAUCUCCAGUACAUCAUAGGGUCCCAAAUAGUAUCAAACAAUUAGAGAUAAAUUUUUUUUAUUAUUACUUAAUCCUUUAUUUAACUACGAUGAAGUGACGUUAUUUUAACAAUAGAGGCAUUCACGAUUAUUGUUUAUAUUUUAAAAUGCGUGCAUGACACUUAAAUUUUUGUUGGAGUAUCUACAAAAUUUAUAAAUUUUAGAGGGAUAAUGAUGAAUUUUUUUUUUUAUUUUAUCAUCCUGUAUUUGAAACGAAGUGUUUUGCUAUUCUAUGAAUUUAUUAUUAAAAUUAUAAUUUUGUUUUGCCAUAAGGACAUGCAGCUAAAGAGAAUAGUAAAAUGUUAUAUUUUUUAAACAAUAUGAUGAUAAAGGAAAAGGUAUAGGCUAAUUACAUACUACAUUUUAUAAUCUUAUGGUUUAUAAAAAUUGCACUUUAUCGUUCUAUGGUUAUAAAUAAUAUGAUAUUAAUAACUUAUUUAACAGUAUAUACUUACAAUAAAAUAAAAAUAAAAAUUAAGAAUAUCAAAUUAAAACUUUCUAAGCCACAUAGCAUGCAUGUUUUUUUUCUUGCUUUUGUAAAUAAGAUUAUGUAUAUCAAAAGGUGUAGAAGUGAAGAAUAAAUUACUAGUAAUUCUUUCAUCCAAAAUAUUUACGUGAUAAUUAAAAAGUUUAUAAUGAAGAUUAGCCCUCUUAAUAUAUCACUUGUUAUACUUAAUCUCCAAAAUAAAUAAAAUAUGCACUUAAUCCUCUUUAAUAGGUUAGAAAUAUAUGAGAGGGUUACAACUAGAGGUGAAACUGAGCCAGGCUUGAGUCGGAUUAUAGUAUACCCUAGCCCGGCUCAAAAAAUUAUUGGGCUUUGGGUCGGACUUAUAUCCAACUUUUACAAAAUUGAGGUCCGGCCCAGGCCCAAGCCUAAUGUGCACAUUGAUCGGGCUUUGUGGAGGCCCACUUUAUGCAUUUGUCACAUAGUGCACAUAUUUUUUAUUGUACAAAAAUAAAAUAAAAAUAAAAUAUCCUCGUAUGAAUAAAUAAUAUAUAUUCUUAAUAUAUAAUAGAUUUUAUGUAUAUCUAUAAAUUUUCAUAAAAACCCGUUUUCUUUUAUCCACGUGACGAUAUUAGCUUAAUUUGAAUUUUUGUGAGCCUUACCUGUCAUCUUAAAUUAUUCUACUUAAUUGUUGAUUUGUGGGGUUUACCUGAGAAUUUUUUUUUCCCUUCUCUUCUUUCCAUUUAAUUUCUUCAACAGCUCACCCUCUAGAUGCCGAUGCCGCUCGCCCCUCUAGAUGUCGCUUUGGCUCCUGAUGUGCCCUCCUGCACGUAAAAAUGGGCCUAGUUCGUUGUCGUUCUUCCUUCCCGACCGUUAUCUCCUUCCCAUUUAGUUGGUUCAGCCGAUCCCAUUUAAUUGGUUCAACAAACAUGUUUGUCUUCCAAGCGAUGCUGCUCGCCCCCUGGAUGCCCCGCUCCGGCUCUUGCUGUGCCUUCUUUGGACGGAAUAUUGGGCCGAGUUCAUGAUCGGCCCUUCUUCCCGUUGUGCUGUUCCGUUAGCGACGCUUCAUUUCAGCUUAUUGAUCCCCUCCGGCCACGAAAAUAGUUCGGAUUCAUUCUUCAUGCUCCCUUCUUGCUGCCUAUAUAGUAUGCCUUCUUAAAAAUUUUAUGUGUGGCGAAAAUCUCUAUUUCUGCUGGUGAUUUUUUCUUCUCUGAUUUGGUUUCAAUUUUUUUUUUUGUUUGAAUUUCAAUUUGGUUUUUUAUUACUUUUUUUGAAAAAACUGAAUAAUUUUAUUUGGUCUCGGGAAAUUGCCUACCUAUGUACGUUUGAUUUGCGAGUGAUUGCCUAAGAAUUGUAAGUUUUCUGAUUUAAUUUUGAUGUAUAUACUAAUUUUUUUGCCUUCCAGUUUGUUGCUGCGAAUAAUUUAAUAAUGGAAAAACUUCAAAAACCCCUCCUGUAGUUUCGUAGUUUCUCACUUUGCCCCCUGUGGUUUAAAAUGUAUCAAUUUGCCCCCAUGUGGUUCGUUUUUAUCUUUUUGGUAGCUUUUUCGUUAAUAUUUCAUUAAAUUAUAUACAAAAAACUUCAGAUAUCCAUUUAGAUUUAUCAAAUAUUCACUUUAGUACCCUUUAAUUUUAACUUUAUCACUGAUUUAAAAAAAAAGAAAUAAUGAAAUUGAUAAGAAAAAGAGAAAAAAAAAACCAUAGGGGAGCAAAUUGAUAUAUUUUAAACCACAGGGGCACGAAGUGAGAAACGACGGAACCACGUGGGGUUUUUUUUGAAGUUUUCCCUUUAAUAAUUUAUUUCUUUCUCCGGUGCAGGAGUUUGCUUCGGGAGGAUCGGAUUGAGCAGGCGAAAGAGUUGGAAGCGGCGCUGAAUGGCGUAGAAGAGGGCCCUUCUCCAUGCAAGGGAAGUGUUGAUAGAUAUUUCUUUAGCUCUUUAUUGAUCUACUAAAGAAAAGUUUUCUUAGCAUUAUCAACAUUACAAGGUAUAGUAAUUAUUUUCUUAAUUAAAGAAUAUUUAGUGCAUAGGUAAUAGGAUCAAAGCAAGUAAGAAGUCACGCAUAGCAGAUGUUUGUUAUUUGGCUAAAUUAUAUAAAACCCUCCUAUCAAAAUUUAAUUUUUUACUUUUUUUCCUGUCAUUUAAAAACCUACACUUUGUCCCCUUGUAAAAUAAAAAAUAUUCACUUUGCCCCCUACCGUCAGUAAUCCGUUAGUAUUCCGUUUAUAAAAUAUUAUUAUAUAUUUUUUUAUGCCGAAAAUAUUCUUAACCUUCUUUUCUGUGAAUAUGGUGAGAGGCAAAAUGGUGAGGGACAAAAUGGUCAUUUUAUCAUCACAAUUCACACCGUAAUUCUCUGUGA
rnacentral:lncRNA from 1 species